GUGGGGGUGAGGGGAAAGUCCCAAAAAGCAGAACUUGAAUUUGCUGCAUGCCAAGGCCUACACUGAAUGCACGUGAAUGAAGUGAUGUGUAGACAUCCCUGUAGCCUCCUGCCAUUUCACAGUUCCUCAGUCUCUCUCUAGCACUCGUUGUUUGAGCAUUGUUCACCUCGUGUCUUGUUAGUUCACUGCUUGUGUUGUAUGCGCCCUUUGUUUCUGUGAAAAAAUGGCUCCUAAAAAGCAAUGAAGUGGUCAAAGCAGUCCAUUAGAGGCUAAGUGUGAAGUGUGAGGAGAACAAGGGGAAACAACUUAAGGUGAGUGAGGGAUGGCUGGCUAGCUCUGUAAAGCGCUCUACCCUCCAGAGCUUCAAGAUCACGGGUGAUCAGCAUCAGCUGAUGCCCAGGCAGCCUUCUGGAGCAAGUCUUCAAUUGUGCUGAAACAACUAUUUACAUAGCAUUUACAUAGUAUUAGGUAUAAGGAGCGCCUGGCGCGGAUUUGAACUAUCGACCCUUUGGUUAGCAGCCGUAGCACUUAACCACUACACCACCAGGGUUUCCAAUAAGUAAUUUAGAGAUGAUUUAAAGUAUAUGGGAGGAUAUGCAUAGGUUAUAUGCAAAUACUACACCAUUUUAUAUAAGGAACUUGAGCGUCCUGGAAUUUUAGUAUCUUUAAGGGGCCUGGAACCAAUUGCCCGUGGAUACCGAGGGAUACUGUACUUUCUUUGACCAAAACAAAACUCUGUUGCUAAAGCUGUUAAUGUCCAUCAGAUUGGGAAACAUGGCGGUCUGUUUUCAGUCCUUCUUCUCUUAGACCUCUUGGCAGCAUUUGACACUGACUUCUUACUGAAACAUGCUCUCCUCUCGUCUUCUAUGACUCUUACCUAGCUUUCCUUUUAUUUCUCUGGCUGUUCCUUCUCAGUCUUCUUUAUUGGCUCCUUCUUCUUGGUCCUGGACCGUCUGCUAUUUUCACCACAAACUAUCUGCACUAUUCCUGUGCCUUUAAAUAUCAUCUAAAAAACUAACCCACUGCCGUUGAGUCAAUUCCGACUCAUAGCAACCCUAUAGGACAGAGUAGAACUGCCCCAUAGGGUUUCCAAGGCUGUAAAUCUUUAUGGAAGCAGACUGCCUUAUAUCGUUUCCCAUGGAGCACUGGUGGGUUUGAACCACCAGUCUUUUGCCUCCCAGCUGAACGCUUUAACCACUGUGCCACCAGGGCUCCAAAUAUCAUCUACGUGCUAAUAAUUCCCAGAUAUUUCUUUAGCCAAAAACUCUCCUGAACACCAAUCUAUGUAUGUACAACUGUCUGCUUGCAGUUGGACUUCAAAACUAACGUGCCCAAAACCGACUUUUUAAAUCUCUCUACUCCCCCAAAUCUGUUCUUGUUUUCCUCAUAUCAGUUAAGUGGUACUUCAUUAUUAUUAUUCUAUUUUACCUUUAUUUAUUUAUUUAGUUUUGUGGUUUAGGUGAAAGUUUCCAGAGAAAAUUAGUGUUCCAUUUGAUAGUUUGUACAUGAAGUGUUUCAUGACCUUGGUUUUAUUCCCCACAAUGUGUCAGCACUCUCCCCGUUUCUGCCCUGAUUUCCCCAUUUUCUUUCAUUCUGAUUAUCCCUUCCUGCCUUCUCUGGAGCUCUCGUGGUGCAGAGGUUAAAAGCUAUGGCUGCUAACCAAAAAGUCGGCAAUUCAGAUCUACCAGUUGCUCCUCAGAAACCCUAUGGGGGCCAGUUCUACUCUGUCCUGUAAUGUCACUAUGAGUUGAAAUUGACUCAGUGGCAAUGGGUUUGUUUUGGGGGGUUUUCCUGCCUUCUUAUCUUAUAAUUGGUUAUUCUAAGGAGUACAUGUUCAUUUUACUUGGAUCCACAAUCAACAGCCAUGGAAGCAGCAGUCAAGAAAUCAGAAGACGCAUUGCAUUGGGCAAAUCUGCUGCAAAGGACUCUUCAAAGUGUUGAAGAGCAAAGAUGUCACCCUGAAGACUAAGGUGCGCCUGACCCAAGCCAUGGUAUUUUCAAUCACAUCAUAUGCAUGUGAAAGCUGGACAAUGAAUAAGGAAGACUGAAGAAGAGUUGAUGCUUUUGAAUUGUGGCGUUGGCAAAGAAUAUUGAAUAUACCAUGGACUGCCAAAAGAAUGAACAAAUCUGUCUUGGAAGAAGUGCAGGCAGAAUGUUCCUUAGAGACAAGGAUGGUGAGACUGCGUCUUACAUACUUUGGACAUGUUGUCAGGAGGGAUCAGUCCCUGGAGAAGGACAUCAUGCUUGGCAGAGUACAGGGUCAGUGGAAAAGAGGAAGACUCUCAACGAGGUGGACUGACACAGUGGCUGCAACAAUGAGCUCAGGCAUAACAACGAUGGUAAGGAUGGCGCAGGACCGGGCGGUGUUUUGUUCUGUUGUGCAUAGGGUCGCUAUGAGUCGGAACCAACUCAACGGCCCCUAACAACAACAGCAAGGAGUACGUUACUCUCAGGUAUUGUUGUUUAUCUUACGUGCUUGUAUAUUGUUUGGCUGGCUGGGUGGUGGUCUAUGGGAUUGAUUUCAUUUCCAGGUCAGAAGGGUGUGUUACGGCCAUAGUCUUGGGGAUCCCUCCAGUCCUUGUCAAACCAGCAAGCUAGAGCUUUUUUGUAACUUUGUUUUUUUUUUUCUUUCUGCAGUUUUCUCCUGCUCUGUCCAGGACUCUCUUGUGUUCCCAGUUGGUAGUGGUAGCUGGGCACCAUGUAGCACUUCUGGUCUCAGGGUCAUGUGGGCUGUGGAUCAUGUGGUCCAUUAGUCCUUUGGACUAAUUGCUCCCUUGAGUCUUUGAUCUUCUUUACUUUCUCUUGCUCUGGAUGGGAGGAGACCAAUAGUUUUAUCUUAGACGGCUGCUCACAAGCUCUUAAGACCCUAAAUGCUGCUGACCAAAGUAGGCUGCAGAACAUUGACUUUAUGUACUAUGUUGUGCCAAUUGACAAAGAUGUCCCCAGAGUCUACGGUCCUUUGUCUUCUAGCCUAGGAACUUCAUCCUGCGAGGUGUUUGGUUAUGUCUGAGAGCUUUCCCUGUCUUUAUCCCUUGUGUAUCCUAUAUGAGCUGCACCUACAAUCAUGUAUGUAGACAUAUCUACCAGUAAACAUAGAGUUGCCAGUGGCUAUUUCAUUAUUUUUCAAAAAACAUCAUUUUACAUACACAAGUAAUAUAUGAAUAUAUUCUUGUAAAGUAAUUCAGUUGAAUAAAGCAAAAGUCCUUCCAUGGUCCUCAGCCAAUCUCAUUCCCCUUCCCAGAGGUGACUAUUUCUGCUAUCAAGUUAUCUUUCUAGACUUUUUUCUACAAAUAUACAUUCAUAUUUGAACAUAGGGUAAUUUAUAGUUUUAUAAUAACUUAUAUAUUUAAUACAUAAUGUCAUAUUGCCUUCGAAAAUGCAAUACUAUUUUAUACAUUGACUAACGAUAUACAAGAAAACUUUCUCAUCACCCUUUUGCCAACACUGGAUAGUUUCCAUCUUUAAUGGGGACUGUAUUUUACUGUUGUUUUUAUUUGAAUUUUCCUGCUUAUAGUGAUGGUGGGAGCCCUGAUGACAUAGUGGUUAAGAGCUCUGCUGCUAACCAAAAGGUUAGCAGUUCAAAUUCAUCAGCCAGUCCUUAGAAACCCUAAUGGGCAGUUCUUUGUCCUCUAGGGUUGUUACGGGUCAGAAUCAACCUGAUGGUAAUAGGCGUGGUUUUUUGGUUUUUAUUCCUUGUUGACUUGUAACUGUUUAUGAUUUAAAUAUUUUUAUGUAAUCAGAUUUAGUAGUUUUUUUUCCUUCAUGGAUUAAACAUUUUGUGUCUCAGAAUGGUCUUUCCUACUCUAAGUUUGUAAACAAAUUCUUCUACAUUUUCUUCAAUUGUUUUUAUGGUUGUUUAUUAUAUUUUCGUCCUAAAUCCAUCUGAAAGUUAUUUUCAUUUGUCCUCAAAUAAAAUUUAAUAUUACUUUUACUAGUUUGUUCUGUGAUUGUUUCUUUGUCUUUAACUUGUGUUUAACUGUUUUUCUUUCCUUAACUUUUAGCCGGACAUGUAGAAAUAACUUGGUAAAUAUUUUCUGAUUCAAGACUGUUUUCCUGGUACUAUUAGUUGUAGUACUUGUUAUAAGUUGUUUCAUAGAAACACUUGAUAUUUUAACAAAUCACACUUUUUAGUUUAGUGAAUAUAGAUUAAAUUAAAUUUGAUAUAAAUUGGAUCCUCACUGACAUCUCAAAUACAUGUCUUCAUGCAACAGUAGUCUGCAGAGGAACUUCUGCAGCUACACUGAGCUUGACAGAUGUAAUGCUGUGUUAUCCCUUUCCAAGAUGAUACCUCAUUUUUUUUUUUAGUCAUUGCCAGGAAUUGAGUAUGUGUGAUGAGGCUGUAGGAAGAAAAUGUUUUGCUCUGGUUUGCUAGUUGUGAGUAUCUACCUUUCAAAGUUGGCAUCUCCUCCUCUAGGUUAAAGAGGGACUUCUUUUCCUGGCUGGUAAAUGCAGUAAGAGUCUUCUUCAACAAAGCUUUUUGGAUAAAGCUUGACUGAGUCUGCGCUUGGGUCAGUGUGUGCUUUGGGAGACAGAAAUAGAAUAGAAUCUUUACUAGAUUAAUUAAUGUCUCUUGUUUCUAUAAAGGUGAAAAGAUGAUUGGCGUAAUCCUGUUUCCUGUUUUACAGUCUAUGCUGCAGUAGAGAAACAACUUUAUUGCUUCUGGAUACUUGUGUAACAAUCUCCCUGAAUGUAUUGUGAGCUUCUUUUAUGCAAAAAGCACUUAUCUGUUGUGUGCCAAACACUGCUAAGUGCUAGGGUUAUAAAAUCCACAAGAUACCAUUCUUGCUCUCAAGGAGAAGGUAGGGAGUAUAGUCAAGUAAAUAAAUAAAUAAUGAAUACCAACCAGCCUAAUAUGAAGGAGCCCUGGUGGUACAAAUGGUUACAAGUGCUGGGCUGUUACCUGAAAGGUUGAUGAUUUGAGCCCAAACUCACCCAGUGGCUCCGUGGGACAAAGACCUGGCAAUCUGCUCCCAUAAAGAUUAACCCGCCAAAAACCAAACCCACUGCCGUCAAGUCGAUUCCGACUCAUAGCGACCCUAUAGGAUAGAGUAGAACUGUCCUGUAGAGUUUCCAAGAGCGCCUGGCAGAUUCGAACUGCCGACCUUUUUGUUAGCAGCCAUAGCACUUAACCACUACACCACCAGUUUCCCCCGUAAAGAUUACAGCCUAGAAAACCCUGUGGGGCAGUUCUGCUCUGUCGCAUGGGGCUGCUAUGAGUCGAAAUCAACCCGAUGGCACCUAACAACAACAAUAACAGUUUAACAUGAGUAAUACUGGAAGCAGGGAUUUUUUGCGGUUCGAAGAGGUCAGCCUGAAAAUAGAGGUGUAUCUCCUUAGGAAAGCUAGUUGGUUGUCUAUCCACGAGGCUUCACAAUGUAGCAGAACCUUUGUGACAUUUCCGUGUUCCUGUUUUGCAAAUCCAAAAAUUCACAUUUGUUGUAUACUGGCUUAUGCAAGCCAAACUUACCAGAGACUCAUAUUUAAAACAAAGCAAUAAUUUCUAAUUUAGAGUCAGCUGUAUCAUCCUCAAGUUGAUCUGAUACACAUGUAAGUCAGAGAAUGCGCUGGAAGGUCUACAUGGGAAGCCUAAUUAUAGUCAGAGGCACUUUAUUAGAUCUUUAGAUUCUUGCUGCUCGUACUGGGUCCAUGACCAGAAGCCUUGGCAUCACCUGGGAGCUUGUUAGAAAUGCACCGUCUCAGGCAAUCGUGGAUCUGUGUUAGUGCAUACCUGCCAUACUAGUGCAUACCUGCCAGAGCCUCAGGGUUUUACUCAUUGUGGAGCAGGCAUCGCCUUAGCAGUUAGUAUCAUUUCAUGUUUUUCUUUUAUGAAACUUCAGAGUGGAGAAGCAAGAAAACCUUUUUAGGGUCCUGUGGCAGGGUGGAAGCUUACAGUAAAACUUGUUAUAAAAGUUGUAAUAAAACACUUGGUAGACACAGAGAUAGAACACAAAGACACAGAUGUACAGAGGCAGACACAUGUAUACAGUACCCACAGAGACACACACACAGACUCCCCCACACAGAGAUCCCCUCACAUACACACAGAGCCCCUCAGACACCCCAUACAGACCCUUGUCAUAGACACCCUCCACGCACACCCACAGAGAACCCCAUGUGUAUCCACGGUCGCCCCCCCACACCCACAGAGACAGCUCCCCACAGACCCAUACACACCCUGAGACACCCCCCCCAUAGAGAGAUGCACACAGGCACACAUGUACUGACCCCUAUCGUGUAAUGCUUAAAACCGAGCUCUUCAAAAUAUUUGAAUAGUGCUCUCCAUAGUUAUUUUGAGAAGGGUCAAAUAUUCUCUAUAAGGUACUUUCAUGUAUAUCUAUAUAAUUUAUUUUUCUAAGGCACUUUUUAAGUAAUUUAUUUUUGUUGUUGAGAAUAUACACAGCAGAACACACACCAAUUCAGUUUCUACAUGUACAAUUCAGUGAUGUCGAUUAUAUUCUUCGAGUUGUACAGCCAGUCUCACCUUCUUUUUCUGAGUUGUUCCUUACUCAUUAACAUAAAUUCAUUACCUCCUAAGUUUCCUGUCUAACCUUUCAAGUUGCUGUUGUUCAAUUUGAAAUAUAUAAAGGGUGCUGUGGAAAAGAUUGGAGCCCUGGUGGCACAGUGGUUAAGAGCUUGGCCGCUAACCAAAAAGUAGGCAGUUUGGAUCCACCAGCCACUCCUUGGAAACCCUAUGGGGCUCUUCUACUCUGUCCUGUAGGGUAGCUGUGAGUUGGAACCGACUCGAUGGCAGUGGGUUAACGGGUCAUUAUAUCUAUCACCCAACUUUUACCAAUUCAACUUUUUACAGAUGUACAACUUACUGACAGCAAUUACACUAAUUGGCUGCCUAAGAGACUUUUAAUUGAGCCAGAAAAUGAAGCAAAAACAGACGGGCUGCCAUUGGGUCUGCAGAACAUGAAAGCUACAGAGCCAAUUUUAUUUGAAUUCCUGUUUCUGGAACUGCUUGUUCUCAUCAUGCUUGGGUGGAAAGUCAUCCUCCUCUCAUUUAGUCUCAGGAGCUUGCAUCCUAGAUUGUUGGUUAAGCAGAGCUCCGUGCUCAGGUCCCCUUGGCAUUAAUUCAGACAUUCCCUUGAUAGUGAUUCACGUAAAUCCGCCCAGGAUUGGAAGGUGCAGAAAUCCUGCACCUGCAUGGAGGAACUUAGGUUGAGUCUUCUGUGCAUGUUGGCACUGUAGGAUAUAGGGCUGGGAAGGGGAGAUUUUGCCUAAUGUAGAAAAACGUAUUUUGAGUUUUUUACCUGUUGAGUGAGUUGUUGUGAAGGUUUGCGUAGAGACCAGUGAUGGAACUUAAGAAUGACUCAGAGGAAUAAUUUAGUUUAAAUUAAAAAAUUUUAAAUUAUACCAUGUGGGCGGGGAAUGCAAGUUGGAUUGUAUUGGUUCUGAUAGAGAUCACUGGUAGCUGCAUAGCUAGGUUUUCUUCGUGCCUGGAACAGCAUCCUGUGAGAAGUCUUUUUUUGGGAAAAAGAGACCUGAUACGUCCAGCACGUUUGUGUAUAUAAAAACGGGACUGUUUCUGUCACACCAGAGAGAUAAAUGUAGGUUCCAAAAAGAGAUUAGUUUUCUCUUUCUGCUUGGUAUGUAUGUAUUCAUUUGACCAAAAACCUGUUGUUGUUGUUUUUUUUUAAUUUUGAAACUAUUUCAGAUAUAUGGCAGAGUACUGAGAAAAUUGUACUCACCACUCAAUUUAACAAAUGUUAGCAUUUUGCAAAAUUUUCUUUAGCUAUUUUAAAGAUCUAAAAUGUGACAGAUAAAAUUGAAGACUAUACCCUUUCUCUCUUCAUUUCCCUGCUUCUUUCCUUCUCUCCCUCUCGUCACUGAGGUAAUUGCUGUCAAAAUUUGUUGUUUACAAUUCUUUUUCAUGUUUUAAUUCUUUCAAUAUGUGGCACAAUGUUUAAGCCCUUGGCUGCUAACCGAAAGAUUGGUGGUUCAGUCCCACCCAGUGGCUCUGUGAUAGAAAGACCUGGUGAUCUGCUCCCGUAAAGAUAGCUGGCAUUGUUAGGUUCUGACUCAUAGUGGCCCUACGUACAACAGAGUGAAACACUGCCUGGUCCUGCGCCAUCCUCACAGCUGUUGCAUGUUUGAGCCUGUUGCUGCAGCCACUGUGUUAAUCCAUCUCGUUGAGGGUUUACCUCUUUUUCACUGACUCUCUACCGAGCAUGAUGCCCUUCUCAGCCGAAGGGCAUCAUGGGGGCAGUUCUCCUGUCACAUUGGGUCUCUGUGAGUCCAAAAUCGACUCAAUGGCACCUAACAACAAUAUAUAUAUUGUUAACAAACAAUAUGUAGCACUGUUUUGUGUGUUUAUGAACUUUACAUUCAUGAUUUUAUACAUUAAUGAACAGCUGUUAAUAAAUAAACAGCUCACCUGGGUUGCUUAGAACUGCUAGAACUUGCUCUUCAUCGAGCUGAUAUUAUUGGCUCCCAGCCUUAUUCUCUGCCCUUGCUUCUCAAUAAUGCUUCAGUAAGCUUUUUAGCCCGUAGUUUUUUCAUCUGUUUUUUCUCAAACUGCUUGGUAAUGAUGGUAACUCAGAACUUGAUAAUGGUGACACAUGUUGUUGUUAGAUGCCAUCGAGUCAGUUCCGACGCAUACCAACCCUACAGGGCAGAGUAGAACUGCCCCACAGGAUUUUCAGGGAGCGGCUGGUGGAUUCGAACUGCUAACCUUUUGGUUAGCAGCUGAGCUUUUAACCACUACUCAACCAGGGCUUCAAACCAAACCUAUUGCUGUCAAGUCCUAUAGGACAGAGUAUAACUGUUCCAUAGGGUUUAUUAUUUGCAAUUUGAAUAUAUCCAUUAACCUGCUUAGCUAAUCCUGCAUAGCUAAUUCUGUAAUGCUAUCUUCUGAGUUAUCAUGUUGCUGUUAGCGCCCAUCAAGUGGAUCGUGGACUCAUGGGCGAACCCCAGGGUGACCCCACACACAAGAGAAUGAAAUACUGCUUGGUCCUGGUACCAUCCCCAUGAUUGAUUGGGAAUCAGACUGUUAUGAUGUAGUGUUUUCAUUGGCUGACUUUUGGAAUUAGAUCCCCAGGCCUUUCUUCCUAGUCUGUCUUAGUCUGGAAGCUCUGCCAAAACUUGUUCAGCAUCAUAGCAACAUGCAAGCCAGCACUGACAGAUGUGUGUGGUGGCUCCAUGUGAGGUCCAUUGGCCAGGAAUCAAACCCCGGUCUCCUGUAUGGAAGGAGAGAAUUCUCCCACUGAAUCACCAGUGCCCCUCCUCUGAGUUAUCAUAAACCAAACCUGUUGCUGUGGAGUCAGUUCCGACUCAUAGCAGUUUAAUGGUUCUUGCAGUUUAAUGCUGACACAUAAUAGGUGCUUAAUAAUUGCUUGUGAUUAUUGAACUGAGCCCAGGUCAUGGGGUAUUGAUUUACAGCAUGCUUCUCUCCCCUUACCAGCCCAGUUGCCCCAGUCCUUUGAAUGAAUGUAACCCCUAGUGCAGUUGCACACAUGGAGACUUUAAUACUGACUUUUCAGCUCUUGUGUAUAACGUUCUUGCUUAGAUUCUCUGUCAGAUGGCUCUGAUAGUUAAACCUUUGGAAAGAGCCCAAGGGUUUACAGGCUCUCAGUAUAGGUUAUAACAAUAGGAACCGAGUGUAGUAUAUGUCAACAUAAUGAUACUUGGCAAUUCUAAAGCAAUACUGGUUCAAUUCAGGAGCAUCAGGUUAAACCAGUUAAGACUCCUUUGGCUUAAAACUUAGUUUGCUUAUUUUAUAGCUUUAUCUACUUUUUUUUUUUUUUAAUUAUGCUUUAAGUGAAAGUUUACAGUUCAAGUCAGUUUCUCUACAAAAACUUAUAUAUACAUUGUUAUGUGACCCUAGUUGCUCCCCCUACAAUGUGACAGCACACUCCUCCUCUCUACCCUGUAUUUCCUGUGUCCAUUCAACCAGCUCCUGUCCCCCUCUGCCUUUUCGUCUCACUUCCAGACAGGAGCUGCCCAUUUAGUUUUAUCUACUUGAGCCAAGAAGCGCACUCUUUGCGGUAUCAUUUUAUGCCUUAUAGUCCCGUCUAAUCUUUGUCUGAAGAGUUGGCUUCGGGAAUGGUUUCAGUUCUGGGCUAACACAGAGUCUGGGGGCCAUAUCUUUUGGGGUCCCUCCAGUCUCAGUCAGUCCAUCAAGUCUAGUCUUUUUACUAAAAUUUGAGUUCUACACCCAGCUUUUCUCCUGCUCCGUCAGGGACUCUCUGUUGUAUUCCCUGUCAGGGCAGUCGUUGGUGGUAGCUGGGCGCUGUCUAGUUCUUCUGGUCUUAGGCUGAUGGCGUCUCUGGUUUAUGUGGCCCUUUCUGUCUCUUGGGCUCAUAAUUACCUUGGGUCUUUGGUGUUCUUCAUCCUCUUUUGCUCCAGGUGGGUUGGGACCAACUGAUGCUUCUUAGAUGGACUGGCUAGCUUUUAAGACCCAGAUGCCACUCCCAAAGUGGGAUGCAAAACAUUUUUGUAAUAAACUUCGUGGUGCCUGUUGACCUAGAUGUCCUCUGAAACCAUGGUCCCCAGACCCCCACCCCUGCUACUCUGUCCCUCAAAGUGUUUGGUUGUAUUCAGGAAACUUCUUUAUCUACUCUUUUUCUCCAGAAUUGUUGCUUAAAUGUAUAGCAGAGAUCAUGGUACAUCUGCAUCCCCAUUUGGAGACUAUAGGAGGCUGACUCAGCAGGAGGGCUGUUGGCUCAAAGGAAGCAAAGAGGGAUGGGUACUUUGGGACUCACAGACAGACUGUUAAAGCCUCUUUCCCAAUCCUGGGAAGGAAAGGAAGGGCACUCUAGGAAGGUUGGGACCUUGCCAAGAUGUAGCAGAGUAUCAAAGAAUUCUCUCUUUAGAACACUUACAAAUGUGAAUUAAUUCUUACAAUAGCACCGUGGUAAGCAAUUAGGGUUUACUGAUGGAAAGGCCGAAUAACAUAAAAUUCAACUAAUGUUUAUUAAAUGCCAUUAAGCACUCUACUUAAUGUUGGUCCAAGGUUCCAGAGCAGACAGUAAACUUAAAAAAACAAUUAAUACAUUUUACAUUUUAUACUAUGUGACUAUGAACAGUUUUGCCAAGACAACAUCUCAGUUUCUGUGUCUGAAAAUAGGAGAAAUUUCAGAAUUUGAAGGUUAUAAUAUGGAAAUAUUCUUGAGCAGAAAUUGGAAUGCUAGUGUUUCAAAAUAUACUUGUUGGGGCCUUCAUAUCUCAUGAAUUUUCAAAGGUUGGGUAAAAAAGUCAAAAUUAGAAAAACAAGAUUGAAACUUACUUAUCUGUAGUUAUGUCUUUUCUGCUUAAGUAUUAUAAUUUAGUCAAAUGAGCAUUUGGCCAAAGUAUUGUAGAGUAAGAGCUCAGUUCCACUUUUUUACAUUAUGAUAACAUCUAAAUGAGGAUGUCUUGCAUGUACUUAGAAGCUGGAGUCAGAGAAGAAGGAGGGGGUCAGAAAAUAGCUUUGGAAGUUGAUGUAAGCGUGUAAUCAUAAUCCUAAGUAGCUGUACUUAGAAGGAUUGUGGGGAGGACAAAAGAUAGCUCAUGAGAGAGUUGUGGGCACAAACCAUCAUAAAGGGAUGAAAAGAAGAAAAAGUGUUGGUAAAAGUAAUUAUUAUCCCACAAUAACAUCAUCUUACCUUCGUGUAGCUCUUUGUAGCUUUCAACUCAGUUAAAUACAUUAUCUGGUUUGAUACUGAAAUACUAUGAAAUAAACUUCUUAGUGUAACAUGUUAAUUUCAUAGAAGCUAAUACUUUUUUUUCUAAGAAAUGCUAUGAUAAAAAAUAAGAAUAAACCUAGAUACUUUACAUUGAAUUAUCUUGGUACUUGAUUGAUACAUUGUUAAUGUUUUUAAAAAAAACAGCAGUUUUGUUGAAACUAAAGCUGAGGCCUGUUAAUUUUCUGUCUGGGUCUCUGUUGCACUGUGAUGUAAAACCAUCAGUGUUGAUUAAGCAGUAGGUCACUUAUGGUAGUUGUUUUCUUACCAGGGUAGCUGUAAAAUUGCCUUAGGUCUGUUUGAAGACUAAGAAGAAAGGCCUGGUGAUCUGCUUGCAAAAAUCAGCCAGUGAAAACCCUAUAGAUUGCAGUAGUCCGAUCAUGAGGAUGGUCUAGGACCAGGCAGCAUUUCGUUCUGUUAUGCAUGGAGUUCCCAUGAGGCAGGGGCCAACUCAGUGACAGCUAACAACAGCAUCUUCUUUGAAAUAAAGCUUGUGGAUGAGAUUGUUUUGGCAUUAUUAUUGUUAAUAAGUGGCCUGUACCUAUAAACUGUCCCUUAAAGUUUUAGGAGGAUUACUGGUGUUUGCCAAAUAGAAAAGAAUUUGUGAGUAAAUACGUUGGGAGGAGGGUAUGGAUUAUUGUCAGGCUUUGUUAGCCAGUUGAAAACCUUGAGGUUUGUAAUUAUAUAAUCCCUCAUCAUUUCUGGGAUAAAUAGUAUGGGUUUGUAGAAAAUGUCUUUAAUUAUCUCUCAUAUCUUCUUUAAUUGGCCCAUCCUUUUCAAUAUCCAUCUUCAGAAGUAUUUUUCAUGUUUUACUUAUCUCUAAAGAAAAACCAUUCUUUGAGCUCCUAUUUUGCAAAAUAGUUUUGAGCAUUACAAUAGGUGCCAGAUUCUGUGCUUGGUAUAGAGGGUAUAAUGAUAAACAAAGCCAGCCAUGGUCCUUAUCCACAUGGAGCAAGGAACCUAGUGAAGGAGUCAGACAUUAGUCACAUGACCAGACAAAUAAAUAAUGAAUCACAACUGCAAUAAAUGCCAUGAAGGAAAGAAAGAUAUGUGGUACUACACAGAGACUUCAUUACAGGGAGCACCUGACCUAACCCGACAGGGAUUUUCCCAGAGAAAGUGAUAUUUAAACUGAGUUAUGAAGAAUGUGUGCAUAGAAACUCGAAGAGUAUUCCAGGCAGAGAAACUAGCAUAUGCAAGGGCCUGCAGUAGGAGGGAGAAUGUAGCAUUUGAAUAAUUGAAAGAAGGCUAGGUAGUUUGUAAUCCAAGAAAAAAGGGACCAUGUGAUGUGAGAUGCAGGUCCUUAUAAACUGUGUUAAGGAUUUGGCCUUUAUCUUAAUUUAAGUAUAAUGAAUUUAAAGGCCAGAGAGCAGCGGUAGGGAAGGGUUGAGACAGAUAGAUUUGUGUUUUAAAAAGAAUUACCCUUUUUUACAGCAUAGAAAACUGAUUGGUAGGUGGCAAGAGUAGAGUAGAUAUAGGGACACCAAUUAGGAAGUUAUUAGAGUAGUCUAGUGGGAGAUAAUGAUAUUUUGGACUAGGUAAGUAUCAGGGGAUAUGGAGAGAAUGGAGCCCGGUGGUGCAGUGCUUAAUCACAUGGCUGCUAACCAAAAGGUCGACAGUUCAAAUUUACCAGCUGCUCCUUGGAAAUCCUAUGGGGCAGUUUUAUCCUGUCCUGUAGGGUUGGUGGAAACCAUGAUGUAGUAGUUAAGUUUUACAGCUGCUCAGCAAAAGGUCUGCAGUUUGAAUCCACCAGGUGCUCCUUGGAAACUCUGUGGGGCAGUUCUACUCUGCACUAUAGGGUCUCUAUGAGUCAGAAUUGACUUGACGGCAGUGGGUUUGGGUUUUUUGGGGAGCAGAGUUGCUAAGAGUCGGAAUCCACUCCAUGGCAAUGGGUAUGGUUUUGGUUUAUGGAGAGAAGGGACAGAUGCCAGAUUCAAGAGAUAAGAAGUAAAAUCGACUAGACUUUGUGAUAAAUUGUGUGUGGAGGGUUAGAGAAAGGGAGGAAUCGAGGAUUACUUGAGCAACCUGAUGGGUGGUGGUGCCAUUCACUAAGGCAUAGACCAUCAGAAAAGAAGCUAGAUUUGGGGGAGGGGAAAUCAUGAAUUUGGUUUUUGAAAUGCCUUUGAGACAUUCAAGAGAUGUCAAACAGGCAGUUGGAUAAAUGGGUCUGGAGUGCAGAGACUGGGGAUAUAAAUUUGAGUCAUUGGCUUUUGUGUUAAGUGAAACCAUGGGGUAGAUGAUAAGAUUGCCUUGUUGUUGUUAGGUGCUGUUGAGUUGGUCCCGACUCAUAGCAACCUUAGGUGCAACAAAAAAAUGAUAACUGGUCCUGCGCCAUCCUCACAAUCAUUGCUAUGUUUGACCCCAUUGUUGCAGCCACUCUGUCAAUCCAUCUUAUUGAGUCUCUCUCUCUUUUUUGCUGACCCUCUGCUUUACCAAGCAUGAUAUCUUUCUCCAAUGAUUGAUUACUCCUGAUGACAUGUCCAAAGUAAGCGAGAUGAACACUCACCAUCCUUGCUUCUAAGGAGCAUUCUGGCUGUACUUCUUCCAAGACAGGUUUGUUCGUUUUUCUAGCAGUAUAGUCAGUAUUCUUUGCCAACACCAUUAUUUGAAUAUGUCAGUUCUUCGGUUUUCCUUUUUCACACGUGAAUGAAAUGGUGGCGUGUGGGCAUUUGACCUCCUCUAACUUCACAAGGUGGGGAGGAGAAUCAAGAUCAAUAGCCAAGGCUGAUCCCUACAGAGGUCAGAUGUACCUCCUCUCUCCAACCUUUUCACCAAUUCUGAUACCACAGCACUCUCUAUUUCUCUACUGAAUCCGAUAAUUCAUUACAAUGGCCACGUGAACUCACACAGCAUACUAACAAUUAGGAGGUUUAUUAGGGAAUUAAUAGGUUACAAUUCAGGAUCAGGAAUGACGCAGAAUACAGUUUUUUGGUCAGGACAGCUUCUCAGCAUGCCCACAGUCACUCCUAUCUCUCUCGGCUCUCAGGCCCACAGCCCUUCAGCCCCUCAGCCCCUCGGCCCAGCCUCUACCCCACAAAGCUCUUUAGCUCCACCAAUAAGUGCCCAGGAGCACUCCACUCUGCUAGUAAGCCCUGGCCCCAAGGCACUCAGCUCUCUUGCUCCAUGGUUUGGCAAGCGUAGCUCUGUUGACAAGUGCUGGGGGCAUCCUACUCCGCCAGGAAGCCUCCUGCCCAAAGGCUCUCAGCUCUUUGGCUCCGUGGGUUGGCAUACCCACUGUAGCUGCCUUGCUCUCUGGGCUGGGAAGCCUUCCAUGCUGGUCUCUUGGUUCUGCUAUUGCUGUUUCUCUGCCGCUGUUUCUCACACCCUCUCUGGUGUUACAGCUCCCUCUCUGUCUGUGUCUUCUGGAUCACGUAGGAUGUUCUCAUCUCAGCGCAGGGACCCUGGGUCUGAAGGGCAUGCUCCACUGCUUGCUACUCUUUCUUGGUGGUAGUAAGGUCCCUCCUUUCUGCCUCUGGAUGGCGUAUUUUAAGCCUAGAGGGAUGGCAAAACUGACCAGUUCCCUCGUUAGGGUUCCAUAGACCUUAUUUAUUUGGUUCCACAUUCACAAGGGUGCCAUUAACCUUACUUGCAUUGUUAGAAGAUUGUCUAAUCCCCUUGGUGGGCCACAAGUACCUUAUUUGCAUAGUCCCACCUAAUCAUUUUGUGGGUGUUACAAGACCAUGGCAAGAAAGGCCAUAUAAAACUGAUUAAUCGUACCACGACAUAUAUAUGAGGCUGAUUGAAAAUACUGUGGCUUGGAUCACGUGCACCUGAGCACUCAGAGUGACAUCUUUGCUUUUUAACAGUUUAAAGAGGUCUUUUGGCAGCAGAUUUGCCCAGUGGAAUACAUUAUUUGAUUUCUUGACUGUUGCUUCCAUAGGCAUUGAUUGUGGAUCCAAGAAAAGUACUUGACAGCUUCAGGUUCUUUGCCAUUUAUCACGAUGUUGUUUAUCGGUCUGGUUUUUACUCAGCACUAUGUUUUCAAAAUCUGUCCAUGUUGCUGUGUGUACGUCUAGUCCACUGCUUCAAACUGCUAUAUAGUACUCUGUGAUACAAAUUCAUGACAUUUUACCUAUCAUUGGGGAAAGAAAUGGACAAGAUUGUUUUCCACAAGCACAAAUAGCAGCACUGUAAUGACCCUACCUUUCUGCAAAUUCUGUGUCUAGAACUACUUCUUUUGUAGGUCAUGAACUUUUGAGUAGCCUGAUUUUUAAGUUAGCCUCAGUUGAGGUUUUUGGUUGUUAAUAUGUACCACCCAGGCAGACGCCCCAGAUGAGCUAUUGGUGAAAGGAACAGUGAUGGAAUUAAAGUAACCUUGGCAACCAUUAUAAUGAAAAUGAGUUUCCUUGGGAAGGAAGAUGAGAGUGAGGGCACUCAGGGCAUUCGUUUGUAACAUUUACAACUGGAACUGACUAGCAUUUUGCUAUUUUAAAAUCCUGGUGUAGCUGCUCCUUGGACACCAUUGAGUCCUGUGCCACUCCAACCUUUCAGUUUUCUGAGACACAAACACCAUGUUUUAAUAUGCAUACGAAACAGAAAAUGAAGCCCCGACAUGCUUAACCUCCUUCAGGCACAUGGAGACCUCUUUUUCCUUUACUACAUUACCUUUUGGAAACCAUGGUGGGGUAGUGGCUUUCUCCGUGCCUUCUGGCAUUGACACUGCUGCAGCUCUGGGCUGAAUCUCUGAUGCACAAAGGAAGCCACUUAGGUUUCCGGAGAAACAGUGUGGUAGCAUGCCCUGAGGGCCAGAGCUUGGCUUGUGGUAGAACAGACAGCACCAAGGCUACUCCUUAAGCCCAAGAAGAGAACAAAUCCUUGGGUUCAAAUCUUACUCUUUUGGUUUAGCCUUUAAACUUUAAGAAAUAAAUUUUUCUUUAAGUUUUAGAGUUUUAAUGCAGGUUCACUCUUUGCAGAUUAGAGAUUGGAAGACAGGAGAAGAGUAAUAAAAGUGAAACCAAAGUAAUUACCGAACUGAGGUUGAGUUGUUAAGUACCGUGCUUGUUUACUUCCUCCCUAAGGAUUCUAGCAGUUUUAACAAAGGGCUUGUGAGUUAAAAGCUUAGGGUUCUAAUUCAGGGUUAACUAUGCUGUUGGUACUAAGCAAAUAGCUUCUGUCGGUCUCAGUUUUUCUCUUUGUAAAGGAAGAGUGAAAACAAUGAUUUUCUGUGUGGAGAAGUACUUAUAAAAGGGACUAAAUAUGACAGUGGUGUAGCCAAGAAUAUCGUCUAAGAUGAAAUCUAAAUUGUAGUGGUAAUAUACUUUAGAUAUCCUACUUAGCUUUCUCCAGUUAAGACUUUUAAGAUGUUUUUACUCUGGUUUUUAAGUUUCCUUUCUCUAAACUUAGCCUUUUGUUGAGUUGUCAUUCAUAUCACAUUAGAUACUCCUCUAUAACAACUGUUUUUGUUGGCUUAGUCAUCAACAGUUAAGUUGAUCUUGAACUUCAAAUAUUUGAAUAUUUUUUAUAUGAGAAGCUUGGAACUGUGUAGGUAGGGAAUAAGUAUAAAGUGUAUGAAAGCAUAAUUUCUGCCCUUCAGUGUAAUUUGAAUACUUCAAAACAGCUCCGAUGCGACUUUUCCUGACCCAAAUUGUCUCUUCUCCAUGAAAAUCAUUCCUGAUUCACGUAGUUGUUCUUCAUUAUUUAGUCUGCUAGACCCCAUUACCACCAUCCUGGUUGGCCAUUCUCUUCUGGAUAUAUUAUACAUGGUCAGUGUCACUCCUAAGAGGUCGUGUUCGGAAUUACAAUACUCCCGAUGUUGUCUGACCCGCGUAACUGUUUUCUUCCUUGUUCGGAUAACUGUACUGCUGGCUAUCUUGUUACCUGAAUUUGUGUUAGCUUUUUAAGCUGACACCUCACACUGAGGGCUCACCUUGAGUUUACAGUCAGUUAAACUCUCAUUACAUCAGCUAAUGUUAAUGCUGGUUUUUUACCAGCCACAUACUUUUUUUUAGGUAAAUGCAGACCUUUAUGUUUAUCCUUGAUGAAUUUCUUGUACUUUCAACCCAUUGUUUCUAUAUAUUAAAAUAUUUUUAAUUUUUUAUUAUGUUGUUCAUGUUAUUAGCUAAUCUUCCAAGAUUUAUAAGCUACCAUUUAAUCUCCAAGGUGUUGAUAAACAUUUACUAAAGCAGGGCAGUACAGAGCCCUGUGACACCUGAGACUUCCAUCCAGAUUGAUAAAAAAUAGUGAGCCAUUAAUUAAUAAUCUGAGGGUGGUUGCUCAACCAGUAGCAAAUCUGUCACCUAACUAGCAUAAGAAAUUUUGUCUUUGAUUUCAACAAGAUGCAUUUGAUCUUCUUUGAGCUCUAAGUCUAAUAAUUUUGUCAAAAGUAAAAUUAGGUAAAAUAAAUAUAUGGACACAUGUAUGUGUAUAGGCAUAUAUAUGUACAGGUAGGUAGGUAGAAGUAUAUGUCCAUGUACGUACAGAUAUGUGGUGCACACAUAUAUAGUCAUAGAAACACAGUUACAGUUACUUCUCAGACAUAACAGAACACCUUGUGAGGUUGGUUUUCUGGAUUUGAAGGCUUAGGGACCUAAGUCUCACGGGACAACUCAGUCAGUUGGCAUAAUAUAAUUCACAAAAUUCAUGCUCUGCAUCCUAGUGAAGUGAGUAGCAUCAGGGUUCCUAAAAUCUUGAAAGCAGCCACCCAAUAUACAACUAUUGAUCUGACAUGUCAGGAACACAGAAAGAAGGAAACCAAAGUCUUAGAGAAGAAACUAGCUUAUAGGAAUAACAGUUUACAUGAGCCACGGCUUCAUCUACCCUGAGACUAAGAACUACAUAGUGCCCGGCUACCACUACUAGCCUUUUUUGUCAGGGCCACAAUAGAUGGACCCUGAUAAAACAGGAGAAAAAUGCAGAACACAGCUCAACUUCUUAAAAAGUUCAGGCUUACUGGACCAGUUGAGACUAGAGAUUCUCUUAGACUAUUGCCCCCAAAUACUCUUUAAACCUUGGAAUGAAACUAUUACCUGAAGUCACCUUUUAGCAAAAUAACAGAUUGGCACACAAGAUAGAGAAUAUUACCUGUGAGUAUGUUGCUGCGUUUAAAAAUCAUCUAUAUGAGACCAAAAGGUCAACAAUUACUCUAAAGCAAAGAUGAGAGGAUAAGGAGACAGGGAAAUUAGAGUACUGGAAACAGAGCAACCAGAACACAAUUAAGAGAACGUUGACACAUUGUGAAAAAUGUUACUAAUGGCACUGAACAAUUUGUGUAGAAAUGGCAAAUGGGAACCUAAUUUGUUGUAUAAACUUUCACUGAAAACACGAUAAAAUAUUAUUAAAAGUAAAAUUAGGUUAGCAUGAUUUUUUUUCUUUUUCUUAGUGAACCUGUUCUGGCUUCUGGUGCUUUCUAUACUCCUUUUCUACCUCACCAUAGACUAGUAGAGAAUUUUGCUGGAUAUUCUUAUUAUUAAACUCUUAAUCUAUAGUUUCUAGAAUUUAGUCUCUUUUUUUCUUUGGAAGUGAAAUAAUUGAAAUUGAAUUUCUUGUGUCUAGUCUUCUAGCUCAUGGAGAUCUCAUUGUCUUAAACUGGUCCUAUAGAUUUGAUUUUGAAUUUAUCUGGUCCUAUAGAUUUGAAUUCACUAACAGCUCCUGGAUACUUCUAUUAUCUCUUCUCCUAUCUAAGGCUUCAGUUUCCUCUUAACCAUGUGUGUUCUACUCUUUUCCAGCCUGGAAGGUUAUUCUUGAAAAGGAAAUGGAAGCAAAGUAAGAGCUGAAUACUUUUAGAUUUUCUUCAUUAUGUUUUAACAUGAUACAAAGGCCGCUUAUCUUUCUGUAUCUGACUUAGCUGGAAAGGCACUCUGUAUGUUAGCACUUUUCAUAAGUUUAUAUUGAUUCUGUACUAUGUGACAGGUACUGCAUUAGAAUAUUGGGCUCCAAAGAUGAAUAAGACGUGGCCUGUGCUCUCAGGGAGGUUGGAGAGAUACGUAUUUAUUUAAACAGUCACAGCAGAGCAAGGUAAGGGCUAAUGGAGCACGCUCAGAAUCCUACAGUGGCACUGAAGAAAGAGCGACCAGUUGGGUCUAAGGAGGCUGCUUCAUAUGAGCCUCUAUCAAAGAUGCUCUGUUUCAGUGGAUUCUUAAAGGAAGGGAAACCCUGGUGGUGUUGUGGUUAAGAGCUACGGCUGCUAACCAAAAGGUCGGCAGUUCGAUUCCACCAGGCAUUCCUUGGAAACCAUAUGGGUCAGUUCUACUCUGUGCUAUAGGGUCGUUACGAGUUGGAAUCGACUCGACGGCAGCGGUUUUUUUUUUUUUCUUAAAGGAAGUGUUGACAUUUCAGGUGAAUCAGGGUAGGAUUGGACGAAUAACAUUUCACUUGUGAGGAAUAGCAUGUGGAAAUGUAUGGAGGGUAAGGGCUAACAGGAUGUGUUGAGAAAUCUUAAAAUAAUACAGGAGUCCCAAGAAAUGAGGUUACAUAGAUAAACAGGACCAUAUUAUAAAGGGCCUUAUAUUCUAUGCUAGAAUUUGGACUCCAGGAGGCAGAGGAGUGUCACUGAAGGGUUUUAAGCAAGAGACAUUGUUGCAGGCUAAGACUUCCCAGCUCGGGACCAGGCUCUGCUUAGGCUCUUGCCUUCUACUGACCAAGAACGACCAGGAGAGGCUCAGAGGUUCCACAUGAACAAAGGUUUGUUAAGCAGCAGAAAGAAAGCAGAGGCUAGCAAGUGGGGACAGAGAGGGACCAGCCAAUGCUAGCCUCUGUUCCCAUGAACAAAGGUGUUUCUGGGGCUUAUAUGGGUUUGGCAAGGAUAACAGAGUAAUGAAUAUUUAGUUGGUUUCUUUCAAAGGCCAAGUACUUCUCCGAAUGGCAGUGCGUGCUAAACUAGGCUGCGUGUGCAUCUGGAAUCCAAGAUGGAACCCGUAGCAAAGGCUCUUGGGACUGGGUGGCAGGACUUAUUAUGGGGUGUCCUGUCUGCUCAGUCCCCUCGCAGCACUGGUUCAAUUCCUGUCGCGGGUACUUGCGUCAGGCAGAGGUCAUCCGUCACUCACCUUGUGGAUGUCUGUGCAUGCUCCAGGAACCAGAUCAGGCUAGUCCUUCUGAAAAAAAUCUUACAAGGAAGUACACUGUUUGUUCUUUCCUUAUCGCACAUUCCAGGAUGGGGGUUUUGCGUCAUUUAGCCAAGCACAUGGUAUAUAAGUAAGUUGCAGGUUGCAGGUGUUGCAGGGUUCCUUGCUUAGGGGCUCAGUCCCUUUUCUUCCCUAUCUCAACAUGAUCAAAACCAGGUCAAUCAGAGUUCUUCCUUAUCAUAUACUGUAUGAGUCAGUUUAGGCUAGGUUAUGCUAUGGUAACAAACAACCCCUACAUUUCAGUGGCUCCAGUAAUGGGGUUAUUUUUUGCGUAUGUUGCACAUCCAUCCUGUGGCUCUGUUCUAGGAUCCAGGCUGGAGAGGCAGCUCCAAUCGGAGACGUUAACCUUAUGGCAGAGAGAAAUGAGACAUGGUAGAACCACGUGAUUUCUUCUAAAGCUUCUGUUCAGAAGCAUGCUGUGUCAUUUCCUCUCACACUUCAAUGGCUGAAGCAGGUCACCUGGCCAAGUCUGAUCCUCCAUCAAGGAGAAGCAGUGAAUAUUUCGAACAGUAGUGCAGUCUAUUUACAUGUAUCAGGUUUUAUUUCUCUACUUUCUGGAUUAUCAAUCCUGCAGCUGCUGGUGACCACAUUCCCAGCAACUUGGAGUAGCCUGAGAAAAUGAAGCUGGUGGUAUAUGGAGAAAUGAGAGACCAGAAAAUGUCCUGGCAGCUGUUUGCACUCCCUGGGGCUGCCUUGCUUCCUGUACCUUUCCUUUGUGUCUGUGAGUUAACAGAGGAGUGUCAUAAUCAGAUACGCAUUUUGGAAAGAUUACUGUAUGGCAUGGAGAACAGGGAGACGAAAGAGUAGAAGCUGGAAGAACAGGGUACAGAAAAAUGGUUAGUGAUCUGUUUCAGAUAUGGAAGCACAAAUUAGGGACUGGACCUGUUUCCUCUUUUACCUUAUUUCUGCCAAUUUAAACUGAUAAUUUCCAAAUCUGAAUUUUAGCAAUUGUGGGGUGAUGUGUGGCGUAGUGGUUAAGAGUUUGGCUGCCAACCAAAAGGUUGACAGUUCAAAUCCACCAGCCGUUCCUUGGAAACCCUAUGGGGGCAGUUCUACUCUGUCCUCUAAGGUUGCUAUGAGUUGGAAUCAACUUGAAGGCAGUGGGUUUGGUUUGGGUUUUAUGCUGUCUUCAGGAUCUUGUUUUUUUUUUAGCUAGACCUUAAAGAAUGUCAAUUCGAAAGAGCUUCGACAGAGCCAGGUGAAAAGAUCCAGGUAAGCUAUAAUAACUUUGAAGGAGGCGUUAGAGAGGUUUGGUAAGGUUUGUGCUUUCUUGGGGGCAGCAUUAGGGCUGAGUCUGAAGCUCUCCUUUGUAAUUCUUCGUAAAAAAUUAAAAAGCAAACAACACAUCUGAAGGUUGCUCGUUAGAGCAAAUUUCACUUUUGGAAGAAUGUUGACUUUAAUUUUAACAGGUUUCCUGAGAUAUACUUUAUAUAUCGUAAAGUUCACCCAUUUAGUAUGUUUACAGAGUUGUGCAACCAUCUAAUUUUGGACCAUUUUUAUCAUCUCAAAUAGAAAUCUGUGGCAGUCAUUCUUCCUCCCCUCCUUCCAAACCAAACCUGUUGCAAUCAAGUUGAUUCCAACUCAUACCAACCCUAUAGGACAGAAGACAACUGCCCCACAGGGUUUCCAAGGAGCAGCCAGUGGAUUUGAACUGCUGGUGACCUUUUGGUUAGCAGCCAAGCUCUUGACCACUGCGUCACCAGGGCUCCUUUCCCUCCCCUCCUUAGGCAACCAUUAAUCUAUUUUUUGUCUCUAGAUUUGUGUAUCCUGGCCAUUUCGUAGAAGUGGGAUUAUAUGUGUAGACCUUUUGACUUUUAAAGUCUCUCGCUUACUAAGUAAUUUCUUUUUCUGUUCUAUAUUUUUUAGAGUUUAAAGGUUACAGUGCUUAUAGCUCUGUCUUGCCUGAUAGAUUUGCAUUAUUCUUAAUUCAUCCCAUAUCCUUCUGUCAUCUAGUACAAUCCUUUGCAUGUAGUAUACUUGUCAAAUAAAUAAUUAAUAGUAUUAGAUGGAUUUUUUUAAUGAACAUUAAAAGAUAUUCUUUGUUGAUAUUGUCCCAGUGUCUGAAUUUCACUUACUGUUUCUUAUCCCUAUUUUCUCCUGUAACAGUUCACUUUCUAGCUGAAUAAUGUUUAUACUUACACUGCUGAUGGAAAGUUUUUUGACUCAGACUCUCUUAUUCCUGCAGAUUAAUUUAAUUAUACAGUACUUGGUAGGCGAGAGGUCAGCAGUUUACUGAGAAGAAGAUGAAGCUGAUAAGGGGACUUCUAGGUAUAACUUAACAUUUCUUGGUUUCUUUGGACCCUUCCUCACUGUAUAAUCUAGGUCACCCUGAUUGAAGCAUUCUGCCUUCCACACUGGUAACGUAGUGGUUAAGUGCGACAGCUGCUAAGCAGAAGGUCGGCAGUUCAAGUCUACCAGGCACACCUUGGAAACUCUAUGGGGCAAUUCUACUCUGUUCUAUAGGGUCGCUAUGAGUUGGAAUCCACCCGACGGCAGUGGGUUUUAAUGUAAUGUCAGUUGUGUUUAAAACUGCCUUGGUAUACCUGUUUGGUUUUAUCUUCUAUUAGUCACUAGAGCACAAAGAUAUUGUGAUAAGAUAUUUAAAUAGGAUAUAUUCCUUUAGUUGGAAUCUUUGUAGUGCACAUGGUCUUGGAUCUAUGAGUGCUUCUAUCCUGUCUGAGAUAAAAGGCAGAAAAAUUUCACUUUUUUUCUUUUUGAGUUUCUCUUCCUAUGGCUUUUUUUUUGUUGUUCCAUCAUGUGCUUUACAUUUGUCAGGCGAGGAAAAGGCACUCAAGAUUUCUAGUCAUAUGCCAGUUAAAAUAUAGUAAACUUUAUUUAAAAUUACAUAGCUGAGCUUGUAAGAAAGUAAGGAAAACCCUCAAGGGCAAAAAAUGAAAACCAAAGUGGUAAGUGCAUAAGGCUACAGGUAUGGCACUCUGGAUAACCAAGAGGCUUCAGUUUUAAUAGCCAUACAGGAACAUGAGACUUUCUUGCCCUCCUCCAUGAAGUUAAGUGCCUUAAAGAAUUACUGCAUCAUUGAAUAGGUGAUCUAGAAAAACAUCUGCCCAACUGCUUAGAGAGAUGUCAAGGAAGUUUGUCCACUCUCCGUGGGCUCUGGAUGGGAAAGUUUUUCUGAGAAUUGUUACCAUGGGCUUAUCCUCAUGUAAGUUUAUUUUAGAAUACCCCUCUUUUUCUGUAGUUCAGGGAACCCAGAGCCAGUAAAUUAACUUAUAAAGUAGUCCUAAAUCAAUGAUAGUCCUAUGGCUCCAGGCUGAGACAGAUGCAAAACUCCUCUAUAGGGAUAUCUUCAAUCUAGGACACACGGAGUUCCCACAGCUUAAGGCAUUUUAAAGAUUUUAUCUAAAAAUAGAACUUCAAAAAAUAAUUUAGGUAUUGAAAUUUAAAACAGUGGACGGUGAUGGUAGAAUGUGUAAAUUCUGGUACAGUCAUGCAGUGGAUACUAUACAGCACUGGAAUGAAUACAGUGUUCCUAGAGAACAUGGCUGAAUAAAGAUAAUGCUGAAAGAAGCCAGACACAAGAGAAUAUAUACUAUAUGAUUUCAUUUAAAUAAGGUUAAAAAACCCUAACCUAUGGUGUUAGAAGUCAUGAUAGUAAUCAUCGGGGAAAAGGGAAAGGGUAGUAAUUAUCAAGGGGCAUGAGAGUAGCUUCUAGGGUACUGGUAAUGUUGUCUUUCUUCAUCUGGGUGGUAGUUACAUGACUGCUUCACUUUGUGAUAAUUCCCUGAGCUUAUUAUUUGCUCAAUCUAAUAGAAAGCAGCAAAGAGAAAUUUGAUAAGUAUCAUAUAAAAUAUAGGAUAAAUAGAAGGCACAAUUUAAAAAAAGGUAGAAAUAAAUCCAAAUGCAUCUGUAAUCGUACUAAAAAAAAAAAAAAAAUUUGUACUAAAUUACGCUUAGCAUUUAAAAGACAGAUGGUCCAAGAUGGCCGACAUCAGUUUUUUUCCUCUACUUAUGUGUCAUCCUUCCAUCCAGAGGUGGAGUUUAUUCCUCCCCUCCCCUCGAAUCUGGAAUGACUUUCGUGACUUGUUUAACCAACAGAAUAUGGCAGAAGUGACAUUCUGGGACUUUAAAGGCUAGGUCAUGAGAAGCUUUGCAGCUUCCACCUGGGCCUCUUUGAACAUUUUCUUCUGGAAUGCUCUCCCAUGGAACACUCAGUCUGAAACCCAACCGCCAUACUGUGAGAAGCCCAAGCCAGAUGAAAAGGUUCACCUGAGCUUCCAGUCAACAGCCAGCGUCAACUGUCAACUAUGUGAGUGAAUGAAGGAGUCAUCUUUGACAUUCCAGUCCCAGCAAACACCAUAUGGCAAAGAACCCAAGCCCUGGGCAUAUGGCCCCAGUCUAGCCAUCUUCAGCCAUUUGAGCCACCCCAGCUGAGACCUGAAAUGUUGUGGAGCAGAUACAAGCUGUCCAGCUGUUUCCUGCCUGAAUUUCUGACUCUUAUAGUUGUGAGCACAAUAAAAUGAUUUUAUGCCUCUAAGCUUUGGGGUAGUUUGUUUGUAGCAACAGAUAACUGAAACAGAAUUUGGCACCUGGAAGUGAGGUGCUGCCAUAACCUAAAUGUGUUUUGGCUUGGGGACUUGGUGGUAGUUAGAAGCUGGAAGGACCUUGAGGAAACUGUUAGUGGAGACUUGAAGCACAGUGAGAAAAAUACUAUUGGAGACUAGAAAAAGGGAGAUGUUUGUUAUGUAGUGGUACGAAGUUUGGUAGCAUUAUCACCUGUGGUAACAUGGAAGAUAGAAGAUGUAUCUAAUGAAUUUGAUCUAUCUAAAAGAUUUCUAGGCAGAAGGCUGAAAGUGCCAUCUGGCUUUUUCUGGCUGCUUGGAUAAGGUACGAAUAAGAGAGAGAGGUAGCUAAAAAUUAACUAUUCUGUUUUUAAGCAGAAUUUAGAGGAAAUAUUUCUAACCCAAGACCUGUUGCGAAUAAAACCUUUUCUCAUCCCCAGUCAUUCCAGAUGGCUAAUGACUUAACGUAAGAAAUGGCUUCAGAGCAAAGAUAAAAUUCAGGAUGCUAUCGAUAAAACAUGGCUCAAAGUAAAAAUAUCAAAGGGGUAACUGUAAGUUCCUUUAUUAAGACUUCAGAAAGAUCGAAGGCAGUGCCUUAUAGAGCAUCUCAGCUAGGUGAAAGGACUUCUGAAGAUCUUAAGGGCAUGCCUCGUAAACCUCUCUGUUUAACAACAGGGCUCCUAAAGAUCUUAAGGGUAUUUUCUUACAACAGGUUCACACAGGACUUGAGAUAGAGAAGGUGGUUCUGGCUUUUUUCUACUAAAGUGAACCCCACUAAUAUUCGUAGGAAACCCACAAGGUUUUUAAGAAGUUGUGCUAAUAGAAGUAUCUUCAACUUGGAUUAAAAGGAAUAGAGAGAAUACAGAAUGAAAAGAGGCCUUCGGACUUCUAAGCAUUAAUGAGCAGGAAGCAGAUUGAGAAGGCUACUCAGUUGCAAACAUGAGCCAUCUCUUAUGUCAAAGGAAGGAUAGAGCCAAGGGUUUUGGAAAAUCAUUCUCAGGGAGUAGGACUGAGCUGUAAUCAAGAAACUUAUGUGUGCUAGACUCUUAUUUCAGAAUUGCUAUGGGUCGGUAAUUGCUAUGUGUCUCCUGUUCCUUCCCCAUUUCCUUCACAUUUUGAAUGAGAGUGUCUAUUGUGGUUAUUCUGAGCCUGUCUCACUAUUGUAUGUUUGUAUGUUGGGUGUGUGGGGGCAGAUAAUUUGUCUCUUUAAUUCAGAUCAAGAGGAACUAUAAUCGAGUAGCUGUACCUGAGGAACUGCAUCUGAGGAGCCUCACCCACAUCUGGACCUGAUUUAGCUAUCGAGAUUCUGGACAUCAAGCUGAUGCCAUGUUGAGAUGAGACUUUGGAAGGUCUUAGGAGAGGAUCUCUUUGAUGUCUGGCUUAAUAGAAGACAGCUAGAUUCUCAUACCUGCUUUGGCAUUCAGUAUGGUGCUUUGUCACACAUCAUGCAGCCUCUGGGAACCUUCACUGUAUACACAUCAGAUAAUAAGAAGAAAAAAGGCAAAUAAUGUCUUACUGUUAUCAUGAAAAUACUUUUGACCUCAAGGACUUCCCAGAAGGGUCUCAGAGACCUCCAGGGGUUUCUGGGCCGCGUUUUGAGAACCACUGUUUCAAAACUCUGUGUGUGGAAAAUAUGAGACUUAAAGCCAGUUUUUCUGUGUGUUUGAUCAAUAUGGUAUUAAACCUAGUAAUUAAGACUCCAGAAUUGAAGUGGGCGGUGUAGCUGAAACCUCCAAACAUUGAACUGGGAGUUAGUCCCAGUCAUGUGUUUUUAAAAGUAGUUGUUCAGUGUUUUUGUAGGACAUUGCUAACUAGUGAGAGAGGAAAAUUUGAGUCACAUCUCUGGGGAAGAAGAACCAGAGAAUUUUAGAGAUAAAAUUGAUCUUUAAAGAUAAUCUAGUAAUAGAAUUUUAGGCUUUCAGAUUUGAAAACCACCUGCCAGGUCAUUUAAUCUAACCCUUAAACUUUCUAAUAAUUGCAAAUAGUACUUAUUGUGUCUUUCUCUCCCUCUCUUUUGUAGUUUUGAUCCUUAUUAAGUUUUUUGUUAUAGAGAAUGUCAAACAUCAACCAACUUCAGCAGUUGUUAAUUCAUGUCCAGUUAUUUUGCGUAUAUCCCUAUCACACGGCACCUACUCCUUUGGAUUACUAGGAUGCAGAUUCCAGAUAUUUUACAGUUUCUUCUGUAAAUAUUUCAGUGUAUGUCUCUAAAAGAUAAGAACUUUAAAUAAAUAACCACAGUUUCAUUAUCACACCAAAAACUUAGCAGUUAUUCUUUAAUAGCAUAGAGAAGCCAGUGAGUGUUCACAUUUCCUGUAUUGUACCAUUCAUUUAUGCAUAUUUUUCCAGUGUUUGAAUUGGGAUGCAGUUAAAGUUCAUAUGGUACAGUUGGCUGAUUUAUCUCUUAAGACUGUCUUAGCUAUCUAGUGUUGCUAUAACAGUUAUACCACAAGCAGAUGGCUUUAAUAGCCAUUAGAGUCUGUUGUUAGGUGCCGUUGAGUCCUUUCCAACUCGUAGCGACCCUGUGUACUACAGAACGAAACAUUGCCCAGUCCUGCGCCAUGCUCACAAUCGUUAUGCUUGAGCCCAUUGUUGCAUCCACUGUGUCAAUCCAUCUCAUUGAGGAAAUAAAAAGAUAUUUUCCAAAAAGGUGAACGUUAUUUAGUUGCUAUUUGUUAACAGGCAUGGAGUUGUGUAUCCUAUUGUUUCCAGUUGAUCUUUUUUCAUUGGACAAAGGAAUAAAUCAUCAUCCUUGCUUUUACUUCUUAUGUUAUAGGGUAAAUAGCCUUUAAACCCAGAAACCCAGUGCCGUCAAGUCGAUACCUUUAAAGGUAUCUCUUUUUCCCCUCAGGUUCAUUUCUCCCUUGAUAUAAAUGACAAAGAACGUUCAUAUUCAUGACACUUAUGCUACCUGUGAGUUUGUCCACUUACUUUACAAAACUCCCCAAAAUUACUAAGGGAAAUAAAGCAAAACUAGCUUUAAUACCCAUAGUAUGCUAGGCACUGUUCCAAGCGCUUUUACAUGGAUUACAUAUAUCUAUAUAUCAUCUUUGCUUUCAGCAAACAGGGUUGCGUCAUCUGCUUAUUGCAGGUUGUUCGUGAGUCUUCUUCCAAUCCUAAUGCCACGUUCUUCUUCAUACAGUCCAGCUUCUUGGAUUAUUUGCUCAGCAUACAGAAUGAGUGCUGAAAUUGAAGAAGACUUGAAGCACUUACUGAUGAAGAUCAAAGACUAUAGCUUUCAGUAUGGAUUACACCUCCACAUAAAGGAAACAAAAAUCCUCACAACUGGACCAAUAAGCAACAUCAUGAUAAAUGGAAAAAAUAUUGAAGUUGUCGAGGAUUUCAUUUUACUUGAAUCUACAAUCAACGUCCAUGAAAGCAGCAGUAAAGAAACCAAAUGACAUAUUGCAUUGGGCAAAUUUGCUGCAAAAGAUCUCUUUAAAGUAUUAAAAAGCAAAUAUGUCACCUUGAGGACUAAGGUGUGCCGUAACCAAUCCAUGAUAUUUUCAGUUGCCUCAUAUGCAUGUGAGGGCUGGACAAUGAAUAAGGAAGACCGAAGGAGAGGGAAUGCCUUUGAUUUAUAAUGUUGGUGAAGAAUACUGAAUAUACGUUCGACUGCCAGAAGAAUGAACAAAUCUGUCUUGGAAGAAGUACAGCCAGAGUUAUUCGUAGAAGUGAGGAUGGGGAGACUUGGUCUCAUGUACUUUGGACAUGUUAUCAGGAGGAACUAGUCCCUGGAGAAGGAUAUCAUGCUUGGUAGAGUGAAAGGUCGGGGAAAAAGAGGAAGACCCUCAGUGAGAUGAAUUGACACAGUGGCUGCAACAAUGGUCAAAUACAGGAGUGAUUAUGAGGAUGACUCAGGACCAGGCAGUGUUUUCUUCUGUUGUACAUAGGGUCACUGUGAGUCAAAACUGACUCGACAGCACCUAACAACAACAGCAUAUAUCAUCUAUCCUUACCACAACCCUAUAAGGGACAUAUGAAUAGUAUCAUCAUCCUAAUUUUAUUAUGAAGUUGCUGAGACACAGAGAUUAAAGUAACUUGCCAAAGGUCACAAGAUGAUAGUGAAAGCCAGGAAUCCAAUCAUGAAUUCUUUGUUCAGAACCUGUGCUGUGUACUUGCCUUCAGUAACUACCACAGAAUCUUUUUGCAUAAAAGGAUUUUGCAGUGGUGUUCAUAAAAGGAUUUUACAAUCAUAUGAGUAAUAAAAUUAUUCAUUUAAUAUGACAAAAAUGGGCAUUUUAUAAAGACAAGUAAAUAUGACUAAGCAAGUUUCUUUUUUUAAUGGAACUUGAUUCUAAAGUCAAUCUUAAUUUUUUUCCUAGGUCAUAAUUUCACAGGUAAUAUUCAAGCAAACAAAUAUGAAUUAUUAAAGAAUAAGUUAUCCUUUGUCUUAUUGUAAAAAAAUAAGUUUAUAGAAUUUGCGAACUGUGAACUUUUUUAACAGGAAUAGUACUUAACAUAAUUUGCUUGCCAUCACUCUCCCCUUAUGCAAUUAUAACUUCUUUUGUGUGGUUACUAACAGGCUCACACUAUUCUCACACAUGAGCCCUGAAGAGGCAGUAGUCACAGUUGCUUUAUCUAUCCUUGCUUCUUCCUCUAUUAUGAAUGUGUGCAUCCAUAAAGAGAAAAUAACCCAAGCACUGUACUAAUGUGUAGUUGUCACAGCAAUGGCUGUAGCAUAUAUAAUAAAGCCUGCUGAUUAUGCAAAAUUCCUUACUAACUGGCUUCGUGUCACCCCUUCUCUCUCACCCAGUAGAGUGGAACGUAAUAUAAGAAUGAAAGUAACUAUAAUAGAGAAAACUUAGAGUCUAAUUUCAUUUAUUCAUUAAAAAGGUAUUAUUAGAAACCCUGGUGGUGUUGUGGUUAAGUGCUAUAGCUGCUAACCAAAAGAUUGGCAGUUCAAAUCCACCAGGCGCUCCUUGAAAACUCGAUGGGGCAGUUCUGCUCUGUCCUGUAGGGUUGCUAUGAGUCGGAAUCAACUCGACAGCAACAGAUUUGUUUUUGGUUUGUUUAGGUAUUACUAGGAAUAGAUUAUCUGGGACACGGUUUUAUAGUUUGACCUCUUGAUUGAAAAACUGUACCCUUAAAGCAUAUUACUCAACCACUUCCCUUCAAAUUGGUAUAGCAAAGAUACCUAGUAGCAUUCUCUCUACCUUUUAAACUUUAAUAUUGGGAAACUCAGUUAUAAUGGUUGAGGAAAGGGAAUUUUUAAAACAGGAAACCAAGAAAUGACAAUGCUGGACAUAUUAAAAUAAGGACUGUUUUGCCGAAUUCUCGAGACUAAACCCAUACCCAUUGCUAUCAAGUCAAUUCUGACUCAUAGCAACCCUAUAGGACAAAGUAGAAGUGCCCCACAGGGUUUCCAAGGAGCAGCUGGUAGAUUCAAGCUGCUAACCUUUUGGUCAGCAGCCAAACGUGUAACCACUGUACCACCAGGGCUCCAUUCUUGAGACUAGGAGGUAAAAAAUAGUCAUAAAACACAAAGUUAAAUGCAGUUAUUAUAUAUGUGUACUCCGUCAAUUAACAUCAAAGUCUAGAUAUGGCCUUGAAAACUUUCUAGUACAAGCUAUGGAUUGAUUAUAACCACAGAAUAAAACUAAUCUGAGGGAGCCUCUCUCCCCCCAACAACAAAAAAGAAUUUUUUUUCAAGCAGAAAAACAUCCAAAGACUUCACCAAAAGAGUAAAAAGACAGCCUACAGACUAGGAAAGAAUCUUUGGCUACAACAAACCCAAUCAGCAUCUGAUCUCUAAAAUCUACAAGAUACUACAAAACCUCGACAGCAAAAAGACAAAUAGCCCAAUUAAAAAAUGGGCAAAGGCUAUGAACAGACACUUCACCAAAGAAGACAUACAGGCGGCUAACAGAUACAUGAGGAGAUGCUAACUAUCAUUAGCCAUUAGAGAAAUGCAAAUCCAAACUACGGUGAGAUACCAUCUCACCCCAACAAGGCUGGCAUUAAUCCAAAAAAACACAAGAUGAUAAAUGUUUGAGAGGCUGUAGAAAGACUGGACACUUAUACAUUGCUGGUGGGAAUGUAAAAUGGUACAACCACUCUGAAAGUGGAUUUGGUGCUUCCUUAAAAAGCUAGAAGUAGAACUACCGUACAAUCCAGCAAUCCCAUUCCUUGGAAUAUAUCCUAGAGAAAUAAGCGCCCUCACACUAAUAAGUAUAUGCACACCCGUGUUCACUGCAGCACUGUUUACAGUAGCAAAAGGAUGGAAACAGCGAAGGUGCCCAAAAACAGUUGAAUGGAUAAACGAGUUAUGGUAUAUUCACACAAUGGAAUACUAUGCAAUGAUAAAGAACAACAAUGAAUCUGCAAAAUAUAACAUGGAGGAAUCUGGAAGGCAUUAUGCUGAAAUUAGUCAGCAAAAGGACAAAUAUAGUAUGAGACCACUAUUAUAAGAACCCAAGAAAAGCUUUAAACACAGAAGAAAACAUUCUUUGAUGGUUAUGAGGGUGGGGAAGGAGGGAGGGGGUAUUCACUAAUUCAAUAGUAGACAGCGGUUGUUUUAGAUGAAGGGAAAGACAACACAAUACAGGGGAAAGUCAGCACAACUGGACUAAACCAAAAGCUAAGAAGUUCCCUGAAUAUAACCAAACACUUCGAGGGACUGAGUAGCAGGGACAGGGGUCUGGGGACCGUGGUUUAGGGGGACAUCUAGGUCAAUUGGCAUAACAAAGUAUAUUAAGAAAACGUUCUGCAUCCUACUUUGGUGAGUGGUGUCUUAAAAGCUAGCAAGUGGCCAUCUAAGAUGCAUCAAUUGGUCUCAACCCACCUGUAGCAGAAUAGAAUGAAGAAUACCAAAGACACAAGGAAAAUAGGAGCCCAAGAGACAGCAAGGGCCACAUAAACCAGAGACUCCAACAGCCUGAGACAGGAAAAACUAGAUGGUGCCUGGCUAUCACCAAUGACUACCCUGGCAGGGAAGAGUAGUCAUUUUCACAACAGAGAAUCCCUGAUGGAACAGGAAAAAAGUGGGAUGCAGACCUCAAAUUCUAGUAAAAAGAUCAUACUUAAUGGUCUGACUGAGACUGGAGGGACCCCAGAGGUCAUGGCCCCUGGACUCUGUUAGCCCAGAACUAAAACCAUUUCCAAAGCCAACUCUUCAGACAAAGAUUAGACUGAACUGUAAGAUAUAAAAUGAUACUGGUGAGGAGUGUGCUUCUUAGCUCAAGUAGACACAUGAGACUGUGUGGGCAGCUCCUGUCUGGAGGCUAGAUGAGAAGGCACGGGGGUCCGGAGCUGGUUGAAUGGGCACAGGAAAUACAGGGUGGAGAGGAGGAGUGUGCUGUCACCUGUGGGGAGAGCAACUAGGGUCACAUAACAAUGUGUUUAUAAGUUUUUGUAUGAGAAACUGACUUGAAUUAUUAACUUUCACUUAAAGCACAAUUAAAAAAAAUAUAGUAACAAUAAAUGUAAGUUCUUAUAGGCUAGAGACCUAACACAUUGAAAUCAUUCAAAUAUUUACAGCAAUUAUCUCUUAAGUAUCUAUUCAAAUACAGUAGAAUCCCAGGAAAGAGGUGAUUUAGUAUGAAUUUAUAUAUCAUAUUGAGAGUGAGACUCAGCUAUGAUUUGUUCUAAACUCCUAUGUUAAUUCACUUUUAGGAACUUACUUCACAGCCAGAGUUAUUGUUCAUUUGUUGAUUGUGAACAGUGCUCUGUUCCGGUUUGGCUUGUUUGAUAGUAAUGGAGAGGGAUUGUUUAGAUUAACAUUCAUAUUAUUUCUCUUUGUAUGGAUCCUUAAACAGUUGUUUUGUAGGAAAAGUAACAUUAAUUCAGCUCUUUAUUGGGAGAUCAAAUGUUGUAUUCUGGUUGGCAUUCAGAUACAUGUUUAAUUGGUAGAACAAUUACUUUGUGUACUCAUGAUAAAUGCUGUUUAUUUGGACAUAUUUGCUAUUUCCUAUUUUUUCUUAAUUGAUUUGACUGUUCUAAAAGCUAUUCUUUAGACUGACAGCCAAAAAACCCCACAUGACUAAGAGAACUGCCAGGAAAGUGUUAGUACUCUGAGCUCUGUAAUUCUCAUUUCUUAAUUUUUAGGGGUUGCUUACAUCAGAUGGGUUGGACUCUCUGUGGAGGCUGGUGGUCUGCUUAAGACUGUUCCCAGGCAGGGAUUUAACACUUGAAUGCCUUUGUGUAUCAGGCACUUAACAUGUGUUAACUUAUUUAGUUCUUAGAAUUAUGUGAGGUAGAUGGUAUACCAAGUUUACAAAAAAAGAAAGUGAAGCUAGUUAUCAGUUUACCCGAAGUCACACACCUUAAGUGACAGGACUGUGAUUUGAGUCUGUCUCGGUCCCCAGAUAUCACUCUUUUUACUACACCACACUAAUUUAUAUCAACAGUACUGUUACAGCUGUUGAUCUGAACAGAUUGCCUUCUGUUAGUAACUAUUUCAGUAAGGUGGGGUAGAUAAUGGGGUUAGUAGACAUAGUAAGAUGAUUGCAGAGGCAGGUAAUGUAUAGAAGAAUCACAGGACUAUGAGAUAACAUAAGCUUCAGUUCUAGAGCCACCAUUAACAUGUGCCUUGGACGAGUCAUAUAUCACUUUUGUUGCAGUUUCCCAGUCUGUAAAAUGAGGAUAAUAUCUAUCCUACCUUACCAAUGGGGCGUUUUGAGAAUGUGUGUGUGUGUGUGUAUAAGCGUUGAAAAUUAUAAAACCUUACAAAUGUAAGAUAUUAUGUAUUAUGAUUAUGGAGGGUCAUAUGGCUUGGUGGAUUGGUAUCAUUCUUUUAACCAAGGGAACAGUUAAGUUGAUCUUGGCAGUUGGCCAUUGGAACUCAAAGAAAUAGCAUCUGUCAAUUACAGUCAUUUCUUGGAAGGAAGAAUUGAAAACGGCACAGCAGUUAUUCUCCUUGACCUCUUCUUCUGAAACGGAAUUUGAUUAGGCAAGAUGGUCUGAUAAUAGAGCAGAGCUUCUCGCCUUUCUCUGGGGAGUUGAAGCCGAAGUAGCCAGACUUGCUCUGUUAAGCUAGAGUACUCUGGUUGAAAGGAUUGAACUAUAUUUCCUGUAAUUAAGGUUUUAUGAGGGAUGUGUACUGCAGAGUAGCAGCUUUUAAAAUGUUACAUAUGCAUAAGUCUUUGUCCCUAGGUUGAGAAGGGGACACUCAGGAAACAUCCCUCAACAGUCACACCCCAUCUUGAAGAGAAGCCUAGAUUCUGACAACUGAACAUGCAGUAGAGGACCAUCGUAUGGCCUAUAGAACCAAGUCCCCCAUCUGGCAUGAUUUGAUAUUUCUCUAGAUCUUUGUUAAGGAGCUGACUCAGUACUUUAUUCCAUUAUAUAGAUACAGUUAAACCACAACACUCAACAUGUAUAAGUGUGCAAUAAGCAAGGGUGUGAAUGUUUAAUAAAAACUGUUACCUAAUUAUGUCUAAUCAUUAACCUAAGAUGAAGGCAGUGAAUGGCCAAAGAAACAAGUUGCAAUGUGUUUCAGUAGCUACAGGCCUCCCUGGAGGAUUACUGCAUGCCCUGAUGGAACUCAGACUGUUUCUAAUUAGGAAGAUCUUGCUCAGUCCUUUAUUCUCCAAACACUUCCUGGCUCUCCUGCAGGUUUGUGUAUAUGUAUGUAGUGUGAAGGUCACUGGUUUAAAUAACUUGGCCAAAGUCAGGAUGAAAUGAGAAUUACAGUCAGUUUCUCUAAUUCUUUUUUACAUUCAUACUGUUGCUUUCAUUUGCAAAAUUGAUUUUAGGUAAAUCAGUGAUUUCAGAACCCUGAAAUUUGUUUCUUAGUCUACUUGGUUCCCCUCUCCGACACCCAAGCAAGGUAUUGGUUACUUAAAGAAACUUGUUAGAGACUUUUGGAAAUGUGUUUAGAUGAGAUUUGUUUGGGGAAAAUCGCCUGGGAUUGCUCACGUAAUGGUUGCUUAAAGUUCUUAUAGGUACCUAGGUGGUGCAGAUGGUCUGCGCCAUGCGUCCCUUACUCUUAGUGUGCUUUACUUUGAAACAAGCUUUCACCUUAACACCUAACUGAGUUGCGAAAUUAGAAGUGGUGAAGAAAGUGUGGGCCACAAAGAGAAGCUCCUGCAGGGAGCUUUGAAGGCCUAGUGAGUAGCUCCAGGGCACUGAGUGCUUGCAGGAUAGGGUAACAGACUUGUCAGCAGUUGAGACAGUACAUUUAGAAUGCUUUUGCCUGAGGCCUAAUAGAAACAGCCUCCUUCUUCCUGAAUACUGCUGGAAAUUGCCUUGUGUCCAAGGACUGGCCCUGGUGGUGCAGUGGUUAAUGUGCUCGGCUGCCAACUGAAAGGUCAGUGGAGAAAGAUGUGGCAGUCUCCUUCCGUUAAGAUUUACAGCCUUGGAAACCCUAUGGGGCAGUUCUUCUGUUCUGUAGGGUCGUCAUAAGUCGUUGUCGACUUGACGACAACAGUUUUGGUUUUUUGAUUCUCUCCAUGGACUAGUGGCCCAGAGGUUUAGAACCAGGAUCCUGUUCCUGUCUACCAUUUGCAGUAUCUAAAAGAAACAAUUUUUCUUCUUUAUAAAUGAGAAAAAUCUUUGAGAAGGAAAGUAUGUAUGUAUAUUAUAUAUAUAAUGUUUUUAACAUAGAAUUAGAUUUUAUUGCAACUCUGUCUGAUAGCACUCUGAAUAAGCACCUUUACAUCUGAAUGUAUUAAAGACACUGUAACAUGUCUAUCCAGAGAGCAUCCUACAUGAGUGCAUUUCACCUGAUUUGGAACCAGCUGGAUACAAUGUUAGGUUCCCUUGAGGAGGCUCACAGGUUUUUCCAAAGGUCAGUUGUCAGAAUGUUACUGUGGACUUGAUUUUUGCUGUUACGAGUGAAUCUCACACCUGCGCUCUUACAUGUUCCACAGUUUAUCUCAGGAGCUGUUUAGACACUGAAAAAAUAAUCAUUUGUUUUUAUUAUCAUCUCUCAAUAAAAACAAAAGAUAGUUCAUAACAUAGGUGGGGUAUUUCCAGUGUUAAGAUGCAAGGACCAAGCAUAAGCUUCUUUCUCUGUUAUUCCAGUUAAACUGGGAAUGUUACAGGGCACAGAGACAAGCCAUUCAUCCUUCUAGGGUUCAUAGUGAGAAAGAAGCAGAAAUACUUCUCCUUGCUGCAUUCCUUCUCAUGUAUGUGACAUCUCUGAUUGGCACCCCUGUGAUUAUCCCUUUGGUGCGUGUUGGCUCUCAUCUGCAUUCACCCAUGUAUUUCUUUGUAGCCAACCGAGAAGGGAUGUUUGAUAAGGUGAUUUGGAGCUGUUAUUAAAAUCAUUACCUGCUGAAUAUGGUCAUUUUCCAGUUCAUAUAAUCAAAUAACUAGAGGAUAGUAGAGAAGAAGGCCUGAGGUUUGAUUUGAAAGGAAAGAUAUGAAUGUCAUUGAGAGAAAAUGAUUGGAAGAAUAUUUCUGUUCUUUUGGCAAGAGAAGAAAAACCUUAGUUUAUUUUAACUGAUUAAAUAGGUUCAGGGAAUGGUGUGUUCACCAGCCAGCCCUUCUAUUUCUGAUCCCCUACUGAAAUACAAUUUAGGAAAUACAAGGUAGUCUGCCUUUAUUGUUCAACUAGGAAAAAAAUCCCUUUGUCCUAUCUAGUUAACUAAAUGUCAAAGUGAGGAUGUGCAGAUGGUUUAAAUUUCCACUACAAUGUGUGAUCAAAUUUUGCUGCUCUGGUUUGGUUAGAAACUGUCUCCCUCUACUGGCUACAAUACACUUGACAUUUCAUGAGGACAAUUUUUUCCUCUGAAACAUGGAAGUAUGACAGCUAUGAAAAGUAGUGUUGCAGGAAUGAACCCUUAUAUGGCUUUUCCUAAAACUUCUAGUGGAGCUUUUGGAGAUAUUACUAAAGAUUGCUGGGGCGAUAAUUGAGGAGAAGUGAGGCAAAUAAAGGGUUACAAAAACUAAACCAGAAGGAUGAGCUCCUGUGUGUGCACAUGUACAAGAAAAUGUUGGUACUGACCAAGUCUAAUUAUUAAACUAUUUAAGCUUUGCUAAUUCAAAUUGACAGAGAUCAUCCAUUUUCAAAAUUGCAGUUGGUUCAAGUUCUUGUGCCCAUUUGGAAAUAAUUUUUAUUGUCAUCACUGAAUUAUACAAUAAAAGAAGACUUAGACGCUUUUUGUCAGGCAUUAGCAAACUUUUCCUGUAAAGGGUCAGGUAGUAAAUAUUUUUGGCAUUUCAGGCCAUACAGCCUCCAUGGCAUAAUACUCAACUCUGCUGUUACACUAUGAAAGCAGUCAGAGACAAUAUGUAAAUUAGUGGGGUUGGCUGUGUUUCAAUAAAGCUUUAUUUAUGGAAACUGAAAUUUGAAUUUCAUACAUUUUCCAAGUGCUAUGACAUGUUGGAAACCCUGGUGGCAUAGUGAUUAAGUGCUACGGCUGCUAACCAAAGUUGGCAGUUUGAAUCCACCAGGCGCUUCUUGGAAAUUCUAUGGGGCAGUUCUACUCUGUCCUGUAGGGUCGCUAUGGUUGGAAUCGACUCGACGGCACUGGGGUAGGGGGGAGGUUUAUGAUAUGUUAUUCCAUUUAAAAAAAAAAAUUUUCAACCAUUUAAAAAUGUAGAAACCAUUUAGUUCGUGGGCUACGCAAAAAUAGCAUGCCGAAUUUGGUCUGUGGGUCAUAGUUUGCUAACUCCUAGUGGUUAGGAGCUCAGCUGCUAACCAAAAGGUCAGCAGUUCAAAUCCACCAGCCACUCCUUGGAAACCCUACGGGGCAGCUCUACUCUGUCUUACAGGAUCACUAUGAGUUGGAACCUACUUGAUGGCACCUAACAAAAACUAACAACUUUAUAUUCAGAAAUAUUAAAGAAGAAUCUGUCAAUAAGUUCUCAUGUCCCUUAGAGGAGAAAAUCUAGAAGAGAAUUUCUCAACUUUUAGGAGUCUUCCAUGCUCUUAUGAGCUUGUGCAGAGGGUGUUGCACCUAUUCACCAUCACCACCAACCACAUGGGAAGAAGUGCACAACUUUCUAUAUAUAGAAGAUGAUUCUUUACCCACAUGUGUGAGCUCUGAUCUCUUCUGGUUUUAUUGUGUUUACACAGUUUAGAUCAUUUAAAUCCAAACAGGAGAAUAUUUGUAAGGCUGUUUUAACAUAUAUUUAUACAUACAGAAGAUUCUUCAUGUGAAUUUAAAAACCAGAAAGAUUCACAUAAUGGAAUUAUUCUAAAAUGUUUCCCAAAAAGGAGGUGUUGUUAUAAGUUAAGAAUAAUUUGCUGUGGUGAGGGGCAUGUGGUGUUGGCACUGGGGCACCUGGGCCACAUGACAUGGGCAGGGUGAUAUAGAUCAGUUAGUUUGGCACAUUUUGGGAGAUAACUAUCUUAAAACAUUAAAUAUUGAUGGUUACAAAUGGUUAAUCAUUUCAAUUAGUUACAUACAAAGUUACAUACCCUUGGCUCUUGUCCUCUAUCAGUCUCCAAAUUCCUGAAUAAAUUCCAUGCUCCACCUUCUCUGUUUCUGCCUGUGCCUGUGCAACUGAGUGCUGUGAAGUUAUGGAAUUGCUGCUUUCAAGAAUCAUGGUUUUCAAUCUCAUUUUGGUUCUCAUUAUCUAUUAUCAAUCAUUUUAUCUUGGUUAUUUACCUUUGUCAUUCCCUUCAGAAGCUAUAACAGUUCUCUGCUACUGUCCUCAAAUCCCUUUUAACCUCUGCCUCAUUGUCAUCAUCUGAUCUGGGCCACCAAAAAUGUUGAGGCCUUCACUUGUGAACUCCUUCAACUUCCUCCUUACAUGUCUCUGUUCCUUAUCCUUACCUUUUUCCUUCCUGUCCGAAAGGAAGAGGUUUAGCUCUUCCCAUUUUAGAUAGUUGUGACAUCUGUCUAAAUAGGUGGUACUUGGUACCAUCUCGUCCAUCUCCUCAGUGACUUAAAACCAAAAAACCAAGCCCAGUGCUGUCGAGUCGAUUCUGACUCAUAGUGACCCUAUAGGACAGAGUAGAACUGCCCCACAGAGUUUCCAAGGAGCACCUGGCGGAUUCGAACUGCCAAACCCUUUGGCUAGCAGCCAUAGCACUUAACUAUGACUUAGCACCAUCUUUUAUAUCCUUGAUCUUCAAUUUCUCUCACUCUGUUAUUAACUCCUUCCAUCCUAUCUUUAUAUAUAAAAAAAAAAAAUCCAUAAUUCUCUAAUUCUUGUCUUCUUCUUCCCUUAUCUGGAUUCUUAAAAAAAAAAAAGAGUAUCUACACAUGCUAUUUUGAAUUUUUCAUUUCCUUUUCGAACUUUGCACUCCCUAGUCCCUUUACCCUGCAGUACUUUCUCUUUUUCCAUAGCACCACCUUCUAACAUAUUAUUAUUAUAUUCAUUAUUUAUCAUCUGUCUGCCUCCUAGAAUUUAAACUCCACAACGACACAGAUUUUUCUUCAUUGCUGUGACCCAAGCCCCUUGAAGAGUGCCUAGUACAUAGCAUAUGCUCAAUAAAUACUUGUGAAAUGAAUGAAUGAGAGUUUGUAUAAACCUCCAUUAUUGUAUUAUCACACUGUAUUGUAAAUAUAUGUUUACAUGUCUUUCAAACAAGACCCUUGAGCUGCUUGAGGGCAAAAGCCAUACACAGCCAUAUACUGCAUAAUAUCCGUUCGGGCAGCGUCCGACUGCAUUGAUGUCCGUGAUCUGGUGUGUGCCCUCCAGGGGAUGCCCACAGCCUGACUCAGCAGCGAGCCCACUUCGCUCGCUGUGAGAACAGUCAUCUCAGCCUCUGGGAGGAGUGGGAGCCCAAUCCUACUCCCGAGCAUCCAAGGUCAGCAGGCAUUGCAUGGCCCUGCCAGGUUGCCGAGACUGCUCCCCUGUUGCCCAGACCCAUGCCCAGAUCCUCCCCACUGUGACCUUCUUGGGACUGCAUCCCCAGUGCUGGUCAGGAUCCAGCUGAGCACCCACCUGAGGUGUCCACAGCAGGAGCUCCCUUGGCCACACACCACACAAUAGCUCCCAGGCCCCUGUGCCAGGGAGCCUUGCAUCCCAAGUACCCAGGUGUUCGUACAACAUCCAAAUCAUAUAAUGUCGUGUUUCACAGAAUGUGUGGUAAGCAUUGAGUGACGCGUAACUGUAUUCAUUUAUAUCUAUGACACCUGCAUUUAGUGGGUGCUUAGUAAAAGUUUACUGAACUAAAGGAACUAUGGAGAGUAUACAACCUAUUUUUUUUUUUUUUUUUUUUACUAGGUAGGUAAAAUGUGUAAGUUUAUCUGUAAGUGGGUAAUACAGUUACUGGAAGGAAGAGAAUGAUUUGGAAUUGACUCAACGGCAGUGGGUUUGGAAGGAGGAGAUGGGUUUGAGUGAAGGUUUAACAAGAUCUUUGGUAAGAAUCCAAUAGAGGAAAAAAACUAUCCACUAUGAAAAUUAUCAAUAAGCAAUUUCUAUUGGUAAUAUCAGGCCAAAAUAUGAACAAUAUUCAUUUAUCUGGGGAAUUAGCAUUAGGGCACAAUUCUACCCUUGUUUUAGAGGCCAAAGAGGAGAUAGAAAAGAUAGGCGGGGAGAUAAACCCCAAAGGGCAAGUGAGGCUUGACAGUAAUGGCAAUAGCAAACUUGGUGUGGACUUGCAAUGUGAUCCUUAGUCAAAGGAAGGCCAGUGCUAUUCUGGGCAGCUAACAAAGGAGAAUUGUGCCACAGUGCAGGGAGCUGGCAAGAACCCACUGGGAGUAUUGCAUUUAGUGCAGUGUCAGCAUGAUAGAAACAGAAGGUGGUGAGCUCUGAGAGCAACUGCGGUGCUGAAAGGGAUAAAUAGAUGACUUACGAAGACCAGUUGAAGAGUUUAAGCAUGCAGGGCUGAGUGAAUUCUGGCAACUACAAGAUCCAGGGGAGACGAUGCUCCCAAAUGCCUGAAGAGUGUUAACAUUACAGCAAGAGAGGAGUUACUUAGCCUGAACUAGGGGACUUUGUAAGCAGGUGAAACUAAGGGCAGGCAUGAAUUAGUGCUUCUCUUUAAAAGGAAUGUCCCGAUGGGGCUUCUGGGUAAUGGUACUGCCUUCACCCUCAGGACUUUUCCUAGUGUGAAGAUGUAAGUCCAAGCUGUAAGAUUUAAGAAGCUCUUUCCCUUGAGAAGUUGUUGAAGAAUAUUUUGGUCUCAUGAAUAAAGAGUUUUUAUCUUCAAAGGCAGGUUGUGGAGGAUUGGUUUAGUAUUUAUUAGUCAUGCACAACACACUAAACACUAUCUGCAACAAGGCAACAUCGUUCGUGAGAUUCUAAAGUAAAGCUACUAGUUGUUGUAGGCCUUGGGCAUUUUUAAUUUGUUUCAGUAAUUUAGGAACUUUGGCAAAUUUCAUAAGACUAUCCUUUUGGGACAGAGUGAUGGUAGGAAUAGGCCAAAUGUAAAAAUAAAUAAAUAAAUAAAACCCUGUCACAUCCUUUGAAUGUUGCCCGUCACAGGAUGGCGUAGCAUGCAUCCUUGGGUAGAGAUUUUUAUUUGGUGAUGGGGAUGAAGAAGUCUUGGGCUGAUAACAUAUUUGUUCUUCAGGACAUUUUAAAUGCCAAAGAGUGAAACCAUUGCCUUCAUUGCUUGCCAGAGUUAUGUCUCAGUUCAAGACAGGGCAAGGAGAAAUAAGAUGAUUCACUUAGAAGUAGUUCUGUUUCCUGAGGCAAAUGUACUUGAGUUUUUAAGUGAAGUGCCAAAGGAGCUCAGAGUAUACUGAGAUAAAGAUUUUUAUCUCUUCUCUCAUGUCUUGGCUCCAUGGUUUCCAAUUGCUUGUCUAUAGAAGCUGUGAUAGAGCCAUAAAGAUCAGGUUGGGUGUGAAGAAUGUGGAGUCAGGUCCCAUUUAAACAGGUAUUUGAGUCUUUCCUCAAUCAACUAAAUUAUUUUAUGGCCCCCUAGGGGUCAGUUUGGAUCCUCUGAGUGACAGGCGUCAAAACAGGCUUAGAGGUCCAAGAUUUAUUGGGAGAAGCUCCUGUAAACAAAGGAGGAGGGAGCCAGGAGUAAGUCAGGGAGAGAUACCAAAAUGUGAUGCAAGGAAGGAAGAACCAAGGAAGGUUUGGGGAGGAAGAGCCUCAGGCCACCACACAAAAUAAGAUGACUCACUUAGAAGUAGUUCUGUUUCCUGAGGCAAAUAUACUUGAGUUUUCUGGUGAAAUGCCAAAGGAGCUCAGAGUAUACUGAGAGAAAAACUUCUAUCUCUUCCCUCAUGUCUUGGCUCCAUGGUUUCCAACUGCUUGUCUAGAAAACCUGUGAUGGAGCCAUACAGAUCAGGUUGGGUGUGAAAAUCUCCACCAGGCAGACGUGGGGUCCCCAAGCAAUGGUUGCCUGUUAGUGGAAUCCUGUAUCAGGCAGGAAUGGGUAGGCGCUAUUAACCCUGCCCGUUCAGUCACUGGCCAGGAGUGCCAGUGAAGGCUGCUUUCAGCAUUUUUAGGGGUGGCAGCUAGAGACUGUCAGUCAGCUAUGCUCCAUACAGCAGGUACUCUUGAAGGAGCUCUAGGUGCUGCAUUUUCAUGGCCAUUAUGCUUUCCAGGAAGUUCAUUUAUUCAUUUCUUAACGGGAUUCACAAAGUUUUAAGGAAAAAUGUAAAUAAAAGUAGAAACUCAAGAUGGUAUGAAAUAAACCAGAAGGCUCAUUGUUUUGCCUCAAAUUUGCCCUUAAGCUUAAGCUUCCAGAGGCUACAUAAUUUAGAUUUCAAGAGAAGAAGAAUUUACUACUAUUUCCUACAAAAGGAUUAUGGCAUUAAAUUCUAAGAGAUUUCUUGAGGGUUCACAUUGAAAGUACUGAGUGAUAAUGAUUUCAUUGUCUACAAUAUUUCUGAGCAAAUAUGCUUGUUUCCUUAUGGUUCCUUGAUACAGUGUGUUUUGAGAAAGACUAAGGAUUUAACAUUAAUAUACAACUCAUUGAAGAUAAUUAUGUGGAGACCAAGUUUGUGUGUAAGAGUCAUGUAGCUGAUGGUCUAUAUUGUUGGAGCUAAGAUUAGGACUUUUGAGUCCUCAGAGGAAUAAAUGGACUGAAGGGCAUUCAAAUAAUCUUGCAUAAAUAUGAACUCUAUCAAACAAACUUUUGAUAAAAAGUUUGAAAUAGGCUGUUCAAAAUUAUAUUCUUAAAAAUAGAAAGUUUAUACCUACAGACUGGGAAGAAGUUUUCAGCUAUGACCUCUCCGACCAGCACCUGAUCUCUAAAAUCUACAUGAUUCUGCUAAAACUCAACCACAAAAAGACAAAUAACCCAAUUAAAAAAUGGGCAAAGGAUAUGAACAGGCACUUCACUAAAGAAGACAUUCAGGCGGCUAACAGAUACAUGAGGAAAUGCUCUUGAUCAUUAGCCAUUAGAGAAAUGCAGAUCAAAACUACAGUGAGAUUCCAUCUCACUCCAACAAGGCUGGCAUUAAUCCAAAAAGCACAAAAUAACAAAUGUUGGAGGGGUUGUGGAGAGAUUGGAACACCUGUACACUCCUGGUGGGAAUGUAAAAUGGUACAGCCACUUUGGAAAUCGAUUUGGCGCUUCCUUAAAAAACUAGAAAUAGAACUACCAUAUGAUCCAGCAGUCCCACUCCAUGGAAUAUAUCCUAGAGAAAUAAGAACCUUUACAUGAACAGAUAUAUGCACACCCACGUUCAUGGCAGCAGUGUUUACAAUAGCAAAUAGUUGGAAGCAACCAAGGUGCCCAUCAAUGGAUAAAUGGAUAAAUAAACUAUGGUAAAUUCACACAAGGGAAUACUAUGCAUUGAUAAAGAACAAUGUUGAAUCCAUGAAACAUUUCAUAACGUGGAGAAAUCCGGAAGACAUGCUGAGUAAAAUCAGUCAAUUGCAAAAGGACAAAUAUUGUAUAAGACCACUAUUAUAAGAACUGGAGAAACACUUUAAGCAGAGAAGAAAAUACUCUUUGAUGGUUACGGGGGUGGGGGGAGGGCGAGAGGGAGAGAGAGAGGUAUUCACUAAUUAGAUAGUAGAUAAGUUUCAUUUUAGGUGAAGGGAAAGAUGAUACACCAUAAAGGCGAGUUUCAACACAAACGGACUAAACCAAAAACAAAUAAGUUUUCUUAAAAAACUGAACACUUCAAAGGCCAGCAUAGCAGGGGCGGGGGUUUGAGGACCAUGGUUUCAGGGGACAUCUAAGUCAGUUGGCAUAAUAAAAUCUAUUAAGAAAACAUUCUGCAUCCCACUUUGGAGAGUGGUGUCUGUGGUCUUAAACGCUAAGAAGCGGCCAUCUAAGAUGCAUCAAUGGGUCUCAACCCACUUGGAACAAGGAAGAAUGAAGAACACCAAAGGCACAAAAUAAUUAUGAGCCUAAGAGACAAAAAGGACCACAUAAACCGGAGACUACAUCAGCCUGAGACCAGAAGAGCUGGGUGGUAACCAGCCACAACCGGUGACUGCCCUGACAGGGAACUCAACAGAGAAACCCUGAGGGAGCAUGAGAGCAGUGGGAUGCAGACCCCAAAUUAUCGUAAAAAGACCAGACUUAACGGUCAGACUGGGACUGGAGAAACCCUGGAGCCCAUGGACCCCAGACCUCCUGUUACACCAGGACAGGAACCAUUCCCAAAGCCAACUCUUCAGACAGGGAUUGGACUGGAAUAAAAAAUAGAAAAUGAGACUGGUGAAAAACAAGCUUCUUGGAUCAAGUCAACACAUGAGACUAUGUUGGCAUCUCCUGUCGGGAGGGGAGAUGAGAAGGCAGAGGUGUCCAGAAGCUACCCAAAUGUACACGAGGAGAGAGGGGGAGGGAAGUACUGUGCUAUCUCAUCAGAGGGAAAGCAAUUAGGAGUGUAUAGCAAGGUGUAUGUAAAUUUUUGUAUGAGAGACUGACCUGAUUUAUAAACGUAAAAUAGUUUAAAGCACAAUAAUAAAAAAAAAAAGUCUAGAAAUACACCUAAAAGAUAUAUAAGAUAAAGGUAGCAUUUAAAAUCAGUGGUGAUGGUAAUGGCAGGAGAGAAUGGAUUAUUUAAUAAAUGGUAUACUUAGGUAGCCAUUUGGAAAAUAAAGGUGUAUCCAUACCUUACAUUUUAUACCAGACUGAAUUCUAGAUGAAUCAAAUAUUUAAAUAUAAGAAAUGGAACCAUGAAAGUAAAGAAGAAACUGUGGGAGAAUUAAAAAAAAAUUUAUAUCACAUGACAAAAAAAAAAAAAAAAACAACUCUAGAAGCCGUGAAAGAAUAGACUGAUAAAUUUGACUACAUAAAAUUAAAAAGAAAAAAUUAUCUUGGGAGGAUAUCGCAAAAACUACUAUGAACAAAGUCAAAAGACAUGACAAACUAUAUUUGCAACUCAAGUCACGAAGGGCUAAUUUCCCUAUAAACAGCUCAAAAAUCAAUGAGCAAAAGACCAGUAAUCCAGUAGAAUAAUGGGCAAAGGAUAUGAACAGAUAGUUGUGGAGAAAUGAAAUACAAAUGUCUCUUAAACUUGUGAAAAGAAACUCAGUCUCACUGUUGAUAAGGAAAAUGCAAAUAAAAGCUACUCUGAGGUACCAUUUUUCACAUCUCGAGUUGACAGAGACCCCACAGUUUGGUAACAUACUGUAUUAGAGAAAUGUGGGAAGGCAGACACUUAUGGGCAAUCAUCGAUCUGCCUUCUGUCACAAUAGCUUAGUUUGUAUUUUCUAGAAUUUUAAACAAAUGAGAUUAUAUAAUAGGUACUCUUUUCUAGUCUGGCUUCUUUUAGUCAUCAUCAUUAUUUUGAGAUUCAUCCAGGUUGUAGCCUGUAUUGAUAGUCCAUUCUUUCUUAUAGCUGAGUAAUACUCUAUUUUAUGAAUAUAUCACAAUUUAUCAGUUCACUGUUGAUUGACAUUUGGGUAGUCUCCAGCUUGAGGCUGUUACAGAUAAAGCUGCUGUGCACAUGGUUCAGUGGUAGAAUUCUCACCUUCCUUGCAGGAAACUGGCCAGCCUACCUCGUGCUCAGACACCACUGGUCUGUCAAUGAUGGGUUAUGUGUUGCUAUGCUGCUGUGUAAGGGCUUUCAAAACAGAGGUGCCUGGUGUAUCUGAAAAGGCUGGUUCACGUUUGGACUCGACUGCAUUUUUUUUUAACUUCUGCUUUUUACCUUAGCAAUGGUUAACGCUUGUACAGACUUAAUCCUGCAGCGAAGGAUAUGUUUUUCUAAGCUAAAGAUACAGAAAAAACGUCUCUUCGAGAAGACCUUUGUGCCAAAUCUUUAUCUAAAUCUCCCAUGGGAAAGGUUUCGCUUAAGCAAGCUGUUUCCAAGGAAAGAAUGUCCUGCAAAUAUAUUGUAACUACCCUGUAACCCCCUUUUUGUCACAUACUCUUGCAGUCAUCACGCUGUAACAAUUUAAGAAAGACACGAGUGCUUUAAACCAAUCCCUUUCAAGCACUGGCUUCAAGUAAUCCCACUUUGUGCUGAUCUAAGUUUGUAACUUCCAAUCAAAAUAAUGUACCUUAAGUUCUUCAUUUUCACCCUGUAAAUAUGUUUCUGCAGCUUCACCUCCUUGUAGCGCUGGCUUUCAUUUUGUGAGAUUUGGUGUCUCCUCAGCUCAAGUUGUCUUUGCUUUCAGUAAAUCUCUUAACAGAGUGCAUGUCAUUACUCUACAACAAUGCAGAACAAGGUUCAGUGGAGCUUCCAGACCAAGACAGACUCCGAGAGAGAUCUGGUGGUCUCCAUCCGCAGAAUUAGCCAGUGGAAACCCUGUGGAUCACAGACUCCUAGAGAGAUCUGGUGAUCUCCAUCCACAGAAUUAGCCAGUGGAAACCCUGUGGAUCACAGACUCCUAGAAAGAUCUGGUGAUCUCCAUCCACAGAAUUAGCCAGUGGAAACCCUGUGGAUCACAGACUCCUAGAAGGAUCUGGUGAUCUCCAUCCACAGAAUUAGCCAGUGGAAACCCUCUGAAUCACAGACUCCUAGAGAGAUCUGGUGAUCUCCAUCCACAGAAUUAGCCAGUGGAAACCCUGUGAAUCACAGACUCCUAGAGAGAUCUGGUGAUCUCCAUCCACAGAAUUAGCCAGUGGAAACCCUGUGGAUCACAGACUCCUAGAAGGAUCUGGUGAUCUCCAUCCACAGAAUUAGCCAGUGGAAACCCUGUGAAUCACAGACUCCUAGAGAGACCUGGUGAUCUCCAUCCACAGAAUUAGCCAGUGGAAACCCUGUGGAUCACAGACUCCUAGAGAGACCUGGUGGUCUCCAUCCACAGAACUAGCCAGUGGAAACCCUGUGGAUCACAGACUCCUAGAGGGAUCUGGUGGUCUCCAUCCACAGAACUAGCCAGUGGAAACCCUGUGGAUCACAGACUCCUAGAGAGAUCUGGUGGUCUCCAUCCACAGAACUAGCCAGUGGAAACCCUGUGGAUCACAGACUCCUAGAGAGAUCUGGUGGUCUCCAUCCACAGAAUUAGCCAGUGGAAACCCUGUGGAUCACAGACUCCUAGAGACAUCUGGUGAUCUCCAUCCACAGAACUAGCCAGUGGAAACCCUGUGAAUCACAGACUCCUAGAGAGAUCUGGUGGUCUCCAUCCACAGAAUUAGCCAGUGGAAACCCUGUGGAUCACAGACUCCUAGAAGGAUCUGGUGAUCUCCAUCCACAGAAUUAGCCAGUGGAAACCCUGUGAAUCACAGACUCCUAGAGAGAUCUGGUGAUCUCCAUCCACAGAAUUAGCCAGUGGAAACCCUGUGGAUCACAGACUCCUAGAGAGACCUGGUGGUCUCCAUCCACAGAACUAGCCAGUGGAAACCCUGUGGAUCACAGACUCCUAGAGGGAUCUGGUGGUCUCCAUCCACAGAACUAGCCAGUGGAAACCCUGUGGAUCACAGACUCCUAGAGAGAUCUGGUGGUCUCCAUCCACAGAACUAGCCAGUGGAAACCCUGUGGAUCACAGACUCCUAGAGAGAUCUGGUGGUCUCCAUCCACAGAAUUAGCCAGUGGAAACCCUGUGGAUCACAGACUCCUAGAGACAUCUGGUGAUCUCCAUCCACAGAACUAGCCAGUGGAAACCCUGUGAAUCACAGACUCCUAGAGAGAUCUGGUGGUCUCCAUCCACAGAAUUAGCCAGUGGAAACCCUGUGGAUCACAGACUCCUAGAAGGAUCUGGUGAUCUCCAUCCACAGAAUUAGCCAGUGGAAACCCUGUGAAUCACAGACUCCUAGAGAGAUCUGGUGAUCUCCAUCCACAGAAUUAGCCAGUGGAAACCCUGUGGAUCACAGACUCCUAGAGAGACCUGGUGGUCUCCAUCCACAGAACUAGCCAGUGGAAACCCUGUGGAUCACAGACUCCUAGAGGGAUCUGGUGGUCUCCAUCCACAGAACUAGCCAGUGGAAACCCUGUGGAUCACAGACUCCUAGAGAGAUCUGGUGGUCUCCAUCCACAGAACUAGCCAGUGGAAACCCUGUGGAUCACAGACUCCUAGAGAGAUCUGGUGGUCUCCAUCCACAGAAUUAGCCAGUGGAAACCCUGUGGAUCACAGACUCCUAGAGACAUCUGGUGAUCUCCAUCCACAGAACUAGCCAGUGGAAACCCUGUGGAUCACAGACUCCUAGAGAGAUCUGGUGGUCUCCAUCCACAGAACUAGCCGGUGGAAACCCUGUGGAUCACAGACUCCUAGAGAGAUCUGGUGAUCUCCAUCCACAGAACUAGCCAGUGGAAACCCUGUGGAUCACAGUGGUCCCGUCUGCGGCUGAUCGUGGGGAUGGGUGUAAGACCGAGCAGUUGUUUUACUUCCUAUUUUGUUGAUUUCUGCUCUGGUCUUUAUUAUUUCCUCUUGUUAUUUUAUUUUGGCGAUUAUAAGCUCUUCUCCAAGUUUCCUGUGGUGGAAAUUGAAGUUUUAUUUAUCUGACUUCAAAAUACUUGUUCCCAGUUAUUUUGCAUUUAAUGAUUUUAAAGAUUACAGCCUAGAAAACCCCAUGGGGCUGUUCUGCUCUGUUACAUGGGGUUACUAUGAGUCGAAAAUCAACUCAACAACACCCAUCACCACCACCACCACCAAUAGAUAUUAAAAUAUGUCAUAAUACAUUACAUAAAGAAGAUUAUAACAUCUCAUUUUUUGCAUAUAAAAAUUAUCAGAAGGGUAUAUUCUGAAAUGUCAGCAAUGGUAAUAGUUGAAUGUUGGGAUUAUGGUUGACUUUUGUCUCUUUUGUCAUUGUUUUCUAUAGUGAAUUUGAAUGACUUUUGUAAUUAAAGUUUUUUUUUUUUUUUUUGCUCUAAGAGAUUCAUUUCAUAGUAGAGGGGUGGAGUGGAUUAAAAACAUCUUCCCUCUUCCCCUCUGUUUCUGGACGGAGACAUAUUUCUGAAAUGGGUGUGGCCACUCUUGAUUUUGCCUGUAAUUUCCUCUUGGCAUUAGUUAAUAAAAAUUAGAAGGCUGAAAGAGCAAUGUUAUUCUGAGAUCUAAAGAUGUAAACACAUGAAAGAUCUUUAAAAAAAUAACAUUAUAACCAUUAUUCAAUUUGUUCCCUAGAUCUGGGAACAUGGCUACUAGUAACAGGAUUCAGAACCCAGAAGCACAGAACCUAGAAAUUUACACAGUGAGCAAUUCCCCCAGGCUCUUCUCUUUUAGCUUUUCACUAGAAAAUCUUCCUCCUCCUCUCUUUUUUUCCCAGUUCUUUUUUUUUUGUUAGUUUAAGGUCUUUUUACCUGGCUGAAAAGAAGUUGAACCAAUCAUAAACAAAUAGCUUCUCUUUUGUGCCUGACUUUUUGUGCAUUCCUGUUGCCAUGUAAAUAAGAAAAAAAAGAAAAGCUAACUAUCUAAGCCAGCUGCUCUCUAUAGCCUCUCUCCCUAAACUAAGGGAAAGGGUGGUGAAGGUUAACUAGGGAGAGCCAAAAGGAGGGGUAGAAAUUGAGGGAAGACAGUAAUAUAUUUAUAUUCUGGUCUUGGUUCUCACUCUGUCUCUUUAACUGUACACGUUAGAAUAAGUUGCCUGUAGCUAUUUGUGUUGGUCCUUAGUCAUGCUUCCCAGCAGCCAAGAGCUGUAAUUGACUAACAACUUUUUCUCUAUUUGUUUGCAUAUUUGAAACUGCCACUAUUUAGGGAUGGAAUUAAUAGGUUUCCAGCUAUCUUUCAGAGUCCCUGGGUGGUGCAGACGAUUAGUGUGCUUAGCUGCCGAAAGGUUGGAGGUUAGAGUCCAAGAGUUGCCAGUGAAGAAAGGCCUGGUGAUCUACAUCUGAAAAACCAGCCAAUGAAAGCUCUACGGAGCUCAGUUCUGCUGUGACACACAUGGAGUUGCUGAGUCUGAAUCAAUUUGAUGGCAACUGGAAAACCUAGGAAAAUGAGUGGUUGUAGGAUGUGGCAUGGGGUUUAUGAUUUUUGGUAUCAAAGAGUUACACUUGGAUUAGCAUUUAACAGCAGUGGAGGGUGUUAAUGAAAUUUGCACUGGAGGCACUAUGCAAAGACGUACAUGCAUCCGGUCAGUGACCACAGGCAUUCCCAAUCUCAACCAUAGGGAUAUUGACAGCUGAAGCCCAAAACAUACGGCACAGAAAGUAGAUAAGUACUUGGAAUCAUUAAGGUGUUUAAGAUAAUAAUAAUACAAAAUUCAGACACCUAACCCCAUAAAAUGUAAGAAAAUAAAUUUGUUAAACCUGUUACUGUCGAGUCAAUUCUGACUCAUAGGGACACUAGAGGACAGAGUAGAACUGCUCCAUAGAGUUUCCAGGAAGUGCCUGGUGGAUUCGAACUACUGACCUUUUGGUUAGCAGCCAUCGCUCUUAACCACUACGCUACCAGUCUGUUUGUUAAAGCCAAAAAAAAAAAAAAAAGCAAAUUUUCAGCAGGGGUUGGAACUGGAACUAA